UUGCUCUUGAAGACACCAACCUGCUAGUAAACCCCUGUCUUCGGUUUCUGCCACGAAUUCUGGUGGCAGAAUGGCUGACUCACCAGACACGAGAUCUGGCCUAAGUAUCCACAAGAAGCUUUGAUUGCUAUUUGCAAGUCCCCAAGCAAACUCAAUCAGUUGCUGGGGAGUCAUGACUGUGAUGCUUCCAUAAUUAACGUAAACAACAGAGUUGGGUUCUUUGGAAUCCAGCCAUUUGAGACACUCGGGCUCUUCCUUCCACAGAUUUGAUUCAAUCAACUGUAGUUCGCUAUCGUGAAUCUGAUCCAGAAGUAGCUGAAGAGGAGCGAUGGUGUAGAUUGGGGGAUACAUGGGAGCAAUUGCAUCCAAAACCUCAUGCUCUAAAGCGUCAAACGUAUUGAAAAUGAUGGCAGAAGCCUUGCGAGCCCUUUCAAGCUCACCCAUGGCAAAGUCCAGCAUCACAUCAUCUGGAUCGGUAGUCCGAAUGAAGCUCGGGAGAUCCUUCAAACGGAUACCUUUCAUGCCCGGUAUCCAAUCGACAACAGUAUCCAAAUACCCAUUUGUUAGAUAACUCUCAUCUGCAUAUCACAGAAGAAGGAAAAAAUGAAAAAUCAGAGUCGGUAGGAGACUGGGAUUUGAAAAACUUGUAUUCAAAGCCGAACUUGGAAUAAUACCUUUGAGUGGUGUAAAACCCUUGUCGAUGAGACUGCGAUACUGCACAUAGGCCAUGAAGCCACAAGCACUAGCUGUCCAUAAAAGAAGGUCGGGAAUGCCGAGUUCUUGAGCAGCGUCUAAAGUGAAGCUCAUGAUAGCGUCAGAAAAUAUGCAAGUGACGGGAGGACCGUCGUGGUUGAGUUUGGCGAGAAGGCGUCUAAAGGGAGCCAAGCAGUUCUUUUUGGUGGAUACACAGAGGGAAGGAAUGUCUUGGGUUGCGUCGACGUCGGACGGGGGGAGACCAUCGGGAAUGGUUUCGAACUGAAAGGUGGGGAGACCACUGAGGCAGUUGGGGCCCUGGGCAUUGAGUAAGCGUGUGUGGUUGAACUCUGUGUUGACAAAGGUGAUACGAAAACCUCUGCAAUGGAGGAGCUUUGCUAGUUUUAGCAUAGGAUUGAUAUGGCCCUGAGCAGGGUAUGGAAUACAAACUGCAUGAGGCUUCUCCGAACCCAUUUUUGCACUGGGAUUGGGAUGCCCUCCCGAUACACUGAGCUGGAAAUAUUUUGGUAUCAUUCCCGUGCUGCAGUAGCGUCACCCACACUCUUUAUCUUCGAAUCAGAGUCAACAGGAAGGAUUAAUGUAUGCAAUAUCCCUGAUGGAAACAUUACUAUUUUUAGUUGGCUGCAAUUGAUUUUUAAUUUAUUAUUAUUCAUGUUAAAGGAAAAGCCCGCACCGGAGCCUGGUGACUUAUGUUUCAUUUUUCUUGUAACAAUUAAGUGACCGCUAUUCAUGAAAAGUACGAGAAAGAACGUGACAAACUAGGAUCCUGGCGUGAGCCUUUACCAUCUUCUUAAGAGAAUAAUGAACCACCUAUAUAUGCAUCACCAUUUGUGGAAGCUGAUGCUCUGUUUAAAAAUUUUCGACGGCUGCCCUCGUAUCAAUAUAUUGCGCUGGCAUGAGUCCAAAGCAUAUUUAUAUUUCCUAGUUAAAAUAUGAUGAUAAUUAUUUUCAAAACAAAUCUAUUUUCAAAUGCAAAAAAUUAAUGAAGAUUACUAACUUGCCCAUAGAACAACACAGUAUAUCUAUCCCAAUGACGGUAAACAUCUCCGAUCCGUCAGUCAGGAACAAGGCAUCUACCCUUCCACCUACGUUCGUAAUUACACCAUUUCGUUUUGUUUUUGUCUUUUAGUGAAACAUUAAGGUCAAAGAUAGCGUGUAUAUGUAGUUUUGUACUUCACGAGGACUCCUUCCAAGGUCCAUAUACCGAGAAAUCCUACGUCACUUUCCUAAAAACGAGGGGAAAAAUGGAACUCGGAGAACUCCGCAGCUGCCAAACUAAAUCAAAGGACUAAGUUAUGGUCCACGGAUUUAAUACUGAUACGAACGUUAUGAUCAUGCACCCUCAUAUUAUGAUCUUCAUCCAGCUCAUCCCUAAUGGGUCUCCUCCAAAUAUUGGCUUCAAACUUCUGUAACUGUCUUGCAUGGAUGAAUGAAAGCCAUGUUGACGGUAGAGGAAACGCAGUCAAGAAUUGACGAGCAGGAAACUCUUGCCACGUGGAAUGAUAGCAUCAGCGCGGAUUGCCUUGAAUAGUUGUGUGCAUCCUUACUCCUUACGCAUCAUCGUCGAUCGACUAUCUAAUAUUUAUUUUCCCUACAAAUUAAGCGGUUGAUGGGUGACAAUUGAACUACACUGCAGGCCCCGCAUAAGAAUAAAUUGAUGAUAUGGCCCUUCUUUUUUUACAAUAUCUUCUGAGUUCUGGCUUGACAUCGAAGUUGAAACAGAGUAAUAAAUUGAAUGGAUAACUUGUUGAUCACUCCAACAAACAAAAAGAAAAGAAAAGAAAACACAUUACCCCACAAAAUAAUAUAAGAGAAUUACACUACAGGGCGAUGGCCUAAUAAAAAAUAUUCUUAUUGAAAAUAUUAAUUACACAUGAAUAAAUGUCAAUAUAUAUAUAUAUAUAUAUAUAUAUAUAUAUAUAUAUAUAUAUAUAUAUAUAUAUAUAUAUAUAUAUAUAUAUAUUAUAUUUUCAUAUAUGUUGAGGCCUCGCGUCCCUGGCGAUUCACGUAGUUGCUGCGAAAUGGAUGGACGCACGAUUUCAACCAAUAUAGAUUCCUGGUUCAAUCGUUCCUGCAAAAGGCGUCCGGACAGGAUGUCCGAACACACCUUCCGAUGAUUUUGUCAGCCAUGGAAAGAGAGAUAAAUCAGUUGGCCUUUUCUAGGUAUCUCCAGCUUACCUUCCUCUUUGUGUGAAGGUUUUUAUAUAUAGUACCAGAAGCUUUGUCUCCCUCUUUAAUGGUAGAGAGAUAUUUUGGCUUGUCAUGAUGCUUUUAGGUGGUGGCAGGGCCAUCAUCACUCAUAGGGCGGCUGCCAGAGAAUGUGGGAGGCACCGCAGCUUGUCAGAGAUCGUGGGAAGUGACUUGCCGUCACUUCAUUCCUGUCAUCUCAUUCUGCAAGUGGCGGAAUGUGGGUCAUGACAGGCUGUUGUGAUGACGUGCAAGAUUUGCUUACUUCAGUCAAUGAUCCGGACGAACAUAUCCGGAUAGUAUAUGUCGGUCGUCCGGAUGCGAUAUGUCGAUUGUCCGGAUGUUAUGGUUGUGAGUGUUGUGUGCCUCUCCUUGAGGGAGUCCGGAUAGGAGAAGCGCGCCAUGUAUACUCUUGGGGAAAUUCGGAUGAGAUUGAUCCAGAUGAGAAUGUGUGCCACGUGUCAUCAGGAGAUGUGUGCCACGUGUUGGGGGGUCCCUACAAUAUAUAUAUACAAAAAGGAAAAACUUGUGCUAAAUUUACAUGAUAUUUAUACUUAGAUAUAAAAGACUUGUCCUACUAUGCCUAUUAUGAAUAUAUUUAAGUAUUUUCUUUCAAUUUCUUUAUUUAUUUUUUAUAUCACUAAAAAUAUUACAUACUAAUAUGUAUAAAUAUCAAAUAUAAUUUUUUUUUUAAUAUUUUCACAUAUAUACAAGAUAUUUGUACUAAAUGUAUAAGAGAAGAUAUAAGUUAUAAUGGAUUAUGCACGUUUACCUAUUGUAAAUAUAUUUUCGUAUUUUUAUGGAUAUUAAUAAAAAUGUGAAAAUGUUUUAUAUAUUUAAUAUAUAUAAUUGUCUUGUAUAUGUGUAAACAUAUAAAAAUAAUAAUUAUAUUUGUAUAAAGUUGUAUUUUUUACAUGCGUUCUUACUUGAUAGUGAGACUUGGUUUUUAUUUAGGAAGAAUUAUCUUUUGGGGGUAGAUGGGCCCCCAAAUUAACAAAAAGUCUAUAUAACUCUUCAAAUUGAGUUGAAGGAUAUGAAAUAGUAACGGACAAAUAUACCCUUUAAGAACAUAUAUAAAAUAUUUUAUAAAAUUAAGUUAAAUAAUUUUUUUUCAAUAAUUUUUUUUUCAAAGAUACUAAAUUAAAUAAAAGUAGUUUUCAAAAAUAUUAAAUUAAAUAUUUUUUUUCAAAAAUAUUAAAUUAAAUUAAAGUAUUUAAAAAAAUAUUAAAUUAAUUUUUUUUAAAUAUUAAAUUAAAUAAAUUUAUUUUUAAAAAAUAUUAAAUUAAAUAAAAGUAUUAAAUUACAUAAAAGUAUUUUUUUUAAAUAUUAAAUUAAAUAAAAGUAUUUUUUAAAAAUAUUAAUUUUUUUUCUCAAAAUCAACAAAGGGCAUUUUUGGAAAUAUUGAAGGAUGAUAUCCUUCAACUCAAUUUCCCUACUUUCAUUGGGUCUUGGGCUCAAUUUGAAGAGGUACAUGGACCUUUUGUUAAUUUGGGGGCCCAUCUACCCCCAAAACAUAAUUGUCCCUUUUAUUUAUGUAAAAAUUAAUUUUUAAAAUUUUGAUUUAGAGUUGUCACUUUGUAGACCCCCAUUUUGGGAGUCAUUCUUGCAGUCGAUGCUUGACAAGUGUCACCAUCUCGCAUGGCCACGUGUCACUCCCGGAUUAGUCAAUGUGGGAUCAAAAUAGUGGAAUUGAAGAAGCAAUCAGAAUAAGACACCUGUCAAGAGGAUAUUCUAAAAUCUUUAGGCAGUUAGAGAUAUUUUUUUGGAAGGGGGUCCCGCAGACCGUCAAGGGGCACAGAUGAGAGAGAAGGAAAGUGGUUGCAGAAGGAGUGUUGUAGGAAAGGUGGCUGCGACAGAGAUUGUUGAAAAGGCAAAUCCGGAAAAGGGGGGAGGGGACAACAUUGAGAGGGACAUAUGGGAGAAAAAGAGAAGAUCCGAAGAGGAGAAAGGAAGGAAAAGAAAAUCCGAGAAAGGAAAAGAAAAAUUGGGGGGGGGGAGGGGGGGGUGGUUUCGGAAAAAGGAGGAGAGAUCCAGAGGAGAGUUUGAGCUUGGAGGGCAAGCAGGGAGCAAAAUUCAUUGAGAGAACGAAAACUUGAUUCUCUUUGCUUGAGGAACCAGGUAUGUAUACCACCUUCCCCCAUCUCUCUUUAUUCACUGCUUUUCCUUGACAUUAUGCUGUUUGGGGUGGAUACUGAAGGCCACUGGUUUGUUUGUUGAGAGAUAAUCCUGCAUUUGUGUUUGCCAUUGUUGAUCUUAAUUUACUCUGCCCCUAUUGUGAUUAUGAAAUGCCCCGGAAUCAUGCAUGUGGUUGCAUUUGAUAUGGUUUACCCACCUGCUCAGAAGAUUCAUGGAUGAUUCAUGAAAUGGAUUUUCUGAGAUUUUUCUUUAUUUAUUCGUCUUCUUUCAUACUCUGUUUCUCUACUUCCCCUGUUUCUUGAUAUCCAUCCAUGGUAUGCAUCCAUUUUCUCAUCCCUGCUCGAAAGAGAUCCUAGAAAACCUAAAGUAGUUGUCAUGGCAGCAAAGCUCACCUCAUCAGCAUCCCCAUACCCAUUCGUUCAUCUAUCCACCUCUCUCUCUAGGUCGUCAUACCCAUUUCCUCACUCAAGCUUGCAAGAAUCAAGCAUCCUCCACCGCACCUAUCUUCCUCUCAUUCAUUCUCCAUCCCACUCUCUCGCUUACAUGGAGUCUCAUGGGUGCAUGCUAUCCUUCACUCUUUCGCAUACCCAUUAAAACCACUCACCCAAGCCUCCAUAUCCAUACGGCCCACCAAACCCGUUUCCCUCUCUAAUCUUUCACCUACACCCGGAAUCCUCCCCGCCGCCAUUCCAUCCGGGUGUCUCACACCCGGAAUUCCUCUUCGCCGCCAUUCCAUCCGGGUGUCCUACACCCGGAAUCCUCUCCGCCGUCAUUCCAUCCGGGUGUCUCACAUCCGGAAUUCUUUCCCCGAUGACAUUCCACCCGGACAUCUCACAUCCGGAAUCCUCCCUCCGCCAACAUUCCACCCAGACAUAUCACAUCCGGAAUCCUUCCCGGCCAACGUUCUACCUUAUCUGGAUGUCUCACAUCCGGAUCUGAAGGUCAAUUUCUUUCCACCUCGUGACCUUAAGCAUGUCCACCUGUGCAUGGCCGCCUUCCCCAAGUCCAACUAUGUAAAUGUUUUCUCUAAUUCAGGUUGUUUCAAAAUAAUUUCAAAUCAUCAAAAUUUUCUAUCCUUCAUCCUUAGCAUUUUUCUUCAGGUUUCAAAGGUCCACUUUUCAGUAUAACUUUGCCACCAUUUCUUCUUUCCGGUAGGCAAUCUUCACAAUCCCAUGAUUUUAAAAUGUUUUAAAGUAAGCAAAGAAUCAAAUUCUGUAACUCCGAACAAUGGAAUUUACGGAUUUGGUCCAUGCAAAAAUGAACUGGGCUUUGGUGGGGGCCCUACAUAUGUGACUUCACGACUAAUUGAUUGUUUGACUGAUUCAUUUACCAUGUAUGAUUGAUUUAUUCUGUUCCUUGAUAUGCGCGUAAUUAUAUAUAUUCAUUGUUCACUAACCUUGCUUCUUUAUAGCGCUUUAUUGGAUCGCUGCCCAGGUACGCAUCCAUAUCCACUUUGGUAAUUUUAUAUGCAUGUUUUGAUUUUCAUAUGUGCAUGAUAGUUCCGGGUAUUCAUUGAUUUCCUCAUCAAUUGCCAUGUCAGCUUCAUUUUAUUAGUAGAGACCCGUUUUUAGGGACUUAGAGGGGUGCUACGGUCUUUACCGUACCUUCCCGAUAAGUAACUUGACCCCCGAACCCGAUCUGAUUUUUCGUAGACCAACCUUUUUCAAAACAAGGAGUCACACUUAGAGUUUUUAUUUCUUAUUUUGUUUACCCUUUAAAAAUAAAACAAAAAUAAGUGGUUACUCCAAGUCAUUUUUUUUAACCAAUUAAAUCAUUGUUCAAAAUAAAAAUCGAGCUCACCAUUCGAGUGGGAAACGCAUUGAGCCGAAAUACGGGGUCCACACACUUAUUUUUGUUUCAUUUGUAAAAAAAAAAAAAAAAAAAAGAAAGUAUUAAGUGUGACUCUUAAAAACAAAAUAUAGGUUUAUGAAAAAUCAAGUUUCGAUUCGAACAUCAAGUUAUCUAUCAAAAGAGUACUAUGAUAACCAAAUAUUUUGCUAAAAAAAGAAUUAGGUCGUGUAACACUCCUCUAAACACUAAAAAUAGACUUUUACUAAUCAAGUUAAGGUAAAAAUAACGAUUAACUAAUUAAUCAAUAUACACCAAGAAUUGAAAGUCAAAGAAUAAAAACAAACCAUACAUGAAAAUAAAAAAAUAAGUAGGUAAACAAGAUAAGAUUGGGAAAGUACCUUAGCAUGAACGACCAAGCAUUUCAUAGGAAAUAUGGUGAGUGCAUAGUAACAAACACAAAAUAAUCUUAUGUAUCACAAUAGUAAGACGUGAGCGAUUAUCAUCCAAUAAAUAUAAAGCAUUUAGAAUCAAAAAUAAAAAUGGAGAAUAUCUCAUAUAUUAGUCCCACCGAUAUCCAAUUUACUUGGCAUGAAUUUAUUCUAUAAACUUCAUUUUCCUAAUAAACAUGAAGAAAGAAUCAGGGAAAUAUGAGGAAAUUUCAUUAUUUUUUUGAAAUAUAUAAUUUUUUUCAUGUUAUUAAAAAAUCAAGAGAAUCAAGAUAUUAUUGAAAAUAAGAGAAAAUAAUAUUUAGAAUGCAUGCCCAAAAAAAGUGGCAAAUUUUAUUGCCUAAAGAUAUCUAGGAUAAAAUUUAAAAGUGGUGACUAUUUCAGUUGAAAAUAGAUUUGAAAAUUUAAUUUAAAAACUGUAAACUCUCACAAAACGGAGGAGUGUCACCGGAAGAGAAGAGUGGAAGCGCUGAAGGUGGCCAAGCAAGCCGGGCAGAAGUGGGCCCCAGGGUGCAAGGUAUCGGUGAUUGUAGCCUCAGGGAAAAGUGGGACGACAAUUUUAAAAAAUAAUUUCUAAAUUACCGUAAAAAAAUAAUUUAUAAGUGAAAAAUCGUCUCUUUAAGAGACGAUUUUAAAAAAAUAAAAAUAUAAAAUAAAUCAAAAUGAGAAAUCAUCUUUUAAAAAAAUAAUUUCAAUAUAUAAAUAUAUAUAUAUAUAUAUAUGAAAAAUUCUCACUUAAAAGAAAAGAAAAAAAGAAUAAAGUGGGAAAUCCUCUCUUCAAAAUAUGAUUUCCAUACUUUUAAAAGUGAGAACAUCUUCAUGUUUAAAUAUAAUAAGUUUAAAUAUAAAUAAUUUAUUAUUUAAGUAUAUUUUUUCAAUUUCAAUCAUAAAUUGAAAUUUAAUAGUUUUUAAUUAAAUUUAAAAAUAAAAAAAAAUUAUAAUUGAAAUCUUAGUUAUUAAUUGCCGCUAAAAAAUAUACUAUUAUUUCAUUAAAGAUAAAUUUAUUAUAAUACAAAUAAAUUAAUAUCUUAAAAAAUAACAAAUUAAAUAUCUUAAAUUAAUAAAUUAUAUAAUUUUAUAUAUUAUUUAUAUAUUAUAUAAGUUUAUUAUUUUAAUAUUUUUAAUUUAUUAAUAAAUAAAAUAUUCAUUUAUAAUAUUUUUUAUUUAUCAAUUUAUGUUUGUUGAAGUAAUACUAGAUUUUUAAAUUUAAAUAUAAAUAAUUUAUUAUUUAAGUAUAUUUUUAAAUUUUAAUCAUAAAUUUUAAUUUAAUAAUUUUUAAUUAAAUUUUAAAUUAAAAAAAAUAAUUAACUAAAAUCUCAAUUGGCAACUGUAACUUUAAUUUAAAAUGAAAUCGUAGUUGAUAACUACGGCUUUAGUUCAAAAAAUGAAGACGCAGUUGAUAACUACGGUUUUAACUAAAAUAAUAAAAAAAAAUAUUUUUUUAAUAAUAUAAUAUUUACGUGCCACUAAAAAACAAUUUAAGUAUUAGUUAGAUGUUAUAAUUUUUUUUUUUAAAGGGUCAUUUUGACCCAAAACUCUAUUUUUAAAAUCUGGUUUUCAAAACAAUCAUGGAGGAUGAUGAGUUGUUCUCCAAAGACGUUCAAAUAAAUGUAUUUAUAAUUUAGAAAAUGGUAAAAAAAAAAAAACAAAAUGCAAGAAAAAUAAUAAAGAAAAGAAAAGUUUGACGAUGAUAAAAAGUCACCCCUAGGCUCUUAAUGUCAUUAGCUGUAAACAUAGAGUUUUUGAUUUUUCACAGCGAAAGACAGAUCCGCACUCAACCAGAUUAAUUUCAAACGCGCUAUUGAGUAUUGAGCUGGCAUUUGCUUGCUUUUCGCCUUUUCCCUUCCUUCUCGGCACUUUCAUUCAUACCCUCUCCCUCGCUCCUCUCACGCUGUUGGUCACACUCUCCCCACUGCCUAUUUUACUAUAUAUAUGAAACCCCCAAUUCAUCUUCUCCUCACUCCAAACCCCCACCAAAGCCAUCUCUACAGCUUAGCUUCACUGCACUCUCUUAAGUCCUAACUACCAUGGCCUCUUUCGUUCCUACUCAAUGCCUUUUACAACUCCUCUUUGUGGCUUCUCUGCUUCCAUUCAUCUCAGCAGCCAGGAGACUUGCUCAAGACCAGCAACCUCUGCUUCUUCAAUACCACAAUGGCCCUCUUCUUUCCGGAAAAAUCUCCAUUAAUCUCAUCUGGUACGGAAAGUUCAAGCCUUCCCAACGCGCCAUUGUUUCUGAUUUCAUUACCUCCCUCUCUUCCUCCAAAACCACCCCCCACCAACCCUCUGUUGCGGCGUGGUGGAAUACCAUCGACAAAUACUACCUCCUCAUUAAGUCCAAGAAAUCCACCUCCCUCGGUCUCUCCCUAGGCACCCAAAUCCUCGACGAGAACUACUCUUUGGGUAAAUCACUGACCAGUCGAAAUCUCAAACAGUUGGCAGCAAAGGGGCAGCAGAGCAACGCCAUUAACGUAGUCUUGACAUCUUCUGAUGUAGCCGUUGAAGGGUUCUGCUCCAGCAGGUGCGGAACACAUGGGUCUUCUCCCAGCUCCAAGACUGCUAAGGUUAAUGGCAAGAUCUCCAAGUUCGCAUACAUCUGGGUGGGUAACUCCGAGACUCAGUGCACAGGUCAAUGUGCAUGGCCAUUCCACCAGCCCAUUUACGGACCCCAGAGUCCACCCCUGUCCGCACCCAACAACGAUGUGGGUAUGGAAGGUAUAGUUAUGAACCUGGCUAGCCUCUUGGCUGGAACUGUUACGAACCCCUUUGGAAAUGGAUACUACCAAGGUUCCGCAGAGGCUCCCCUGGAGGCUGCAUCGGCCUGCCCUGGGAUUUAUGGGAAGGGCGCGUACCCUGGCUAUGCCGGAAAGCUGUUGGAGGAUCCCACCACAGGUGCUAGCUAUAAUGCCAAUGGUGUGAAUGGGAGGAAGUACCUGCUUCCUGCAUUGCUUGAUCCUUCAACUUCCACCUGUUCUACUCUGGUCUGAUAGACUGAUACUACUAUGCUUCUCUAAAUUCAUUUAGUUGUAUAGCACGGAGACGAUAACCGAUUCUUUGUUUGUAUUUGAUUAAUUACCAUUAUGUAUUCUUUUUCCCGUCUGAAUAAAUGAAAUUCCAAUGUUUUCUUUCAUAUCCAACCAGUUCAGCCUUCCUCUGAUAUUUUUUCUUCACAUCCCAAUCCCAACAAAAGCCGCACUGCGCCCUCCUCUGCUAUUCAAACUCGUAUGUGGUCAAAAUCAUUAAUGAGAUCUACCAUUGGAGAAAGCUUUAUUAUAAUAAGGAAAAUUUUAAGCAAAACCUUUAGGACAUGGAAUGAUCUGCUGCUUUUCUCGUCCUACAUUUUUAAUUUAAGACUUAAAUUUCCAACCUCGUCUACAUGCCAUCAUUAUUUAUUCAGAAGUUGCAAUUGAAGAAACGUUUAUAGCACGUUUUGCAGGAAUAUUAUUAAUAAUUUAAGUAUGUAACAUUCUCAAAAGGCAGUCUAAGAAGAUGUAUACUUCCAACCUUGGAUUUUGUCACAAUUAUUCAUGGCCCAGCCUCCACGUGAAAUUCUAAUAGAUGUUCAAUAAUUCAAACGGAAAUGUGCAAUAGAAUAUGUCAACCCUUCAAUGUGAGGAAGGUUUGGCUAAAAUUUUAGCUUAAAUUAAGAUUUUAGAGAAUAUAACAUCAUAAUUUUUUUUCAUGUUUGUCGUAAGGAAGAAAUAAAAAGGGCCUUAUCACGUUGGUGAUAUAAAUUUUCUAAUUUAUUUCAAUGAUUUCUUUUUUCUCAUGAAAAAAAAAAUAAAAAUCCUCAUAAUGAAUGCAAGUUGGUUUUCGAGAUAAAAAUAUGUUGGCUAGAUGUGUAAUAUAUGAAAAAUUAGAAAAUAAAAUAUUCAACAAAUUUUCUCCUGUUAAUUCAACAUUUCUCAAUAUUUUUAUAAAUUUAAAAUUAUUACUUUUAAAAUAUUAUUUAUAAAUUAAUUUAAAAUAUUUAGUAUUAUUAUUCUAUAACAAAAUGACCUAUUGAUUUUUCUUUAACUUUUUAAUAUCUAAUAAAAAUAAAAUAUUAAAUCAACAAACUAUUUAAUACUUAAUAUUAUUAAAUACUAUUUAAUUCUAAAUUCUAUUUAAAAUUAACUAAAAAGAAAAAGAAAAUAUCAUCUUAAUCAUGUCAUAUCAAUUCUCAAAAUUAGAGUUUGAGGGCUUAAUUUUUUUAACCUGGCAUCAUUUGGAUUGAUACAACUUUUAUAAUAAAUAAAUUUUUGCCAAAAAGAGUACAUAUAAAAAUAAUUUAAUUUCACACAUAAAGAAUAUUGUGGGGUCUAGGUCUCUUUGUAAAAAGUUACUUUAUAAAAGUAUUUUCUUAACUUAAUUUAUAGAAAAAGCUCCUAAAUCAUGAAUCUCUCAUUUUUCAUAUGUUUAAUAAAAAAUUUUUAUAAAAUUUCUUGAAUUGUUUGAAACAUAUGCUAUAUGAUUUCAAUGAUAUUUCAAGUAAAACCUUGAUCAACUAACUUUCUAGAAGACAUAAAAUUUUUAGAAAUCUAGAACUUUAGGAGUAGCAAUAACAAAGAUAUUUAAGUGGCAUACAAGUCAGAUUGUUUUUGAGGAGUUUCAAACUUCAAAUCAUAACCGGUCCAAAUGUUAUACAUUUGAGCAGGAAACAGAAAGACUGUCACUAAUUUGGGGUGUUAGUUUAGCCAAAUUAAGCUAGGGCCAUAAGAUGUUUGGGACCACCUCGAUUUUAAGUCAUUUUGCCAACAACUAUUAAGGCAUUAACAACUAACUAGGCAGGCCGGACCCUUAUCCAUUUCUAUAAAAGACAUCAUCUGUAUGGCUACCGACCUAAAUUGAUUGCAUGCCAAAUGAACAAAUUUCAUACCCAAUAAUCACAUGUAACUUCUAAUUAGCUGAGUGUAAUUGUUUUGUCAUUAAAAUUGCUGUCCCGGUCCCAUCACAUGGUGCGAAUACAUCGUGAUUUGUUAACUUAAUUGGAAAUAUUACAAUCCAAACAACUAAGAUUGUGGGUAUUAAUGGAAAAUCCAAUAUUGCAAUGUUGAUGGUUGCAACUUGCAGCUUGGAUCUUAUACUUAUAGUCUCACACUCGUUUCACACGUAGUCGAUAUGAUCAUGAAUAACGGGGUCCAUCCCCGAGGGCCCCGUGAUAACAACAGAGCACUGAGCACCUAAAAAUUAAAAAUGGUGUGCAUGUAGCCGCCGCAAGGAAAACCAUGCCAGUGUUUGGAAUAAUUUUGGCUUUUGUGUCUUUCAAGCUAGCCGCUUCUCCAGAGAGAUGAAAGCACGGUAUCGAUCGAAUCAAGUGGAUCAGGGCCCGGAGUUUUAAAUGGCGGGUCGGCGCACACUGAUGUUUUGAGCCAUCUAAAACCAUGAGCAUAUUGAUUCCUUGAGUUAUUUAGAAAAUGGGGAUGUGCUUUCAGCGUAUACAAACUCACCUGUGACUAUCUUACUCUAAAGCAAAUAAUCACGGACGAGUGCUAACCCUAGGAUCGUUAUCUUCACAUGCAAGGAUUACCUACUUGUUAUUCCCCCUGUCCCUUGACUUUGGGUUUUAUAUUUUUGGACGAUCAGAAAGAAGGAAACACCUACCCUUGAUAACCACGUCAUCAGGCACAACCUGGCGAAAACUGCCACGCGUUUGACACUAAAAGUGGUCAAUUAAUCAACGCGGCACGAUUUCAAUGUUUCUUCCAUCACUCCCUUUUGGCCAGCGCCACACGCGCACUCCAUGAUGACACCACCUUUCUAUGACUAUAUAAGUAUCGCAACAGUCGACUCUUCCUUCACACUCAUUCCUCACCAAUCCAGCUUUUCACACUCUCUGCAUCACCUUCACCCCACUACUUUACCUUCUCAAUGACUUCUACUUACCAUUUCUCCAUCUUUGUUUCACUUCUCCUACUCUCCUGCCUUCCCAACCUCACCUCCGCCACACCUCGAAAACUCUUCUCUCUUGUUCAAGAGCAACCUCUCAUUCUCAAGUACCACAACGGGCCACUCCUUAAGGGCAACAUCACCCUCAAUCUCGUUUGGUACGGAAACUUCUCCCCCAUCCAACGCUCCAUACUCGUCGACUUCCUCCAGUCUCUCAAUUCCCACACCACCACGCCCCACUCCGUCUCAUCGUGGUGGCAGACCAUCCAGAAGUACAAAGGAGUCUCCUGCACCCUCGCCGUUGGGAAUCAGAUCCUCGAUGAAGACUACUCUCUAGGGAAGUCAUUGCGAAGUUCAGACAUCAUUUCCUUGGCUUCUAGAUCAAACCAAAGGAGCGAAAUAACCGUGGUGUUCACAUCGGCAGACGUGGCGGUAGAAGGGUUCUUCAUGAGCCGGUGCGGGACUCACGGGUCAACUCAGAGUAAGUGGGCCUACGCGUGGGUGGGUAACUCGGAGACUCAGUGUCCGGGUCAGUGCGCAUGGCCAUUGCACCAGCCCAUGUAUGGACCACAGACUCCGCCGCUGGUGUCUCCAAACGGGGACGUGGGAAUUGACGGAAUGGUGAUCAAUUUAGCGACUGUUUUGGCGGGAACGGUGACUAAUCCGUUUGAUAACGGCUACUUUCAAGGAUCGGCUAGCGCGCCGUUAGAGGCGGUGACGGCUUGUACAGGUAUAUUCGGGACAGGAGCUUAUCCAGGAUAUCCCGGCGAAGUUCUGGCGGAUGGAACGACUGGGGCUAGCUAUAAUGCUGUUGGGGUGGAUGGGCGUAAAUACUUAUUGCCGGCGAUGUGGGACCCUCAAACCUCCACCUGCAAGACAUUAGUCUGAAGCCUGAACCUAAUGGAUGAUUUGUGUUCUGUGUGGUACCAGCAAUUGUUUGUUUGGAGGAGCUUUGUACUCCCAGCUUUGAAGUUUGUUCUUUUUUUUCAUCAACCUUAUCAUAUGUAAAUGUUUAUGUAUCAUUAAUUAAAUUUGUUUCAUUAGUCAACCAAUCCUCUGUCUCCUUUGCCUUCUAAAAAGUUUCAAAUUUUUUCUAACAAUUUUGGGUCAUUAGGUUUUGGUGGAAGUUUCAAGUUGACUAACCAGUUAGCUUCUGGAUUUAACUUAACCCCAUAUUAAGCUGAGGAACCAAUCUGGUUUUAGCACAUGUGCAUUGAUUGGUAUUCUUUAUAAUGGAAUCUAACUGCUUUCUUUUUUACCCCAUGAGAAGAUUUCACCAUAUUGUCCUCCAUUCUUGCACACAACCGUAUCAUCUGACUGAAUUUUCUAUGAAAUAAUAAUUAUUUUGGUUUUUUUUUUUUUCAUUUUUCUUUUUUCUAACACAUAUAAAGUAAAAAAAGAAAAAAUUAUUAUUAAAAUAAAUUACAAAAUUUAUUUACAAUAGAAUUAAAUUAAAAAAAUUAAAGAGAUAGGACGAAACCGGAAAUUCUCAUAUUUGUUUCAUUCGAAUCUUUUUAGGGUAGAGGAAAAUAUGUUUAAACGAUGGAAUGGGAUUGGGAUAGAGUAACAAUUCGAAUCCACCUCGCUAUCAUUCCUGGAUGUUUGAGCAAUGGGUCUGGUCGAGCAGCCCGACCUGUGGACACUGGGAUCCUGGAGCACAGCGCUGUCCUUCUAGUUAAUAAGUUGGAAUCAUGGUUCGACUUGGUUUCUGUUCACGUCGUAGCCAUUUGCGAUUUGCUCAGUAACACUGGUGACUUAAUCAUGGGCCGUGGGCUGCUUUCAAGACUUGGGCUUUUCAAUUGGAUUCGGCCCAAUUGGGUUUGGACUCAGGUGAUGAAUGAGCCGGCCCAAUCUGGAAAAUGUUGCAUUUAAAGUUUGGACCAUAUUAUCUGUUGGAAGGAAGUUCUGAUUUCUUAAAAUUUUUAUGUUUUUGAAGGUUUAAGGAGUGAGGACUUGAGUGUGGAUUCAUCCCAGAGCAUAGUUUGAUGGAAUGGCUGUGUACAUUCGCCUGAUUCUUUGUAAUAUUAUGUAAAAAAAAAAAUUGAGAUUAAAGAAAAAGUGAAAAACACAUAUGACCAAGCUGAGGCGCUGAAAAGAAAAAAGAAACAAGGCUUUUUAAGGCAGAAGACGGUGAUCUCCUCUCAGUUUCCAGUUUCCGCCAUCCACAGCCAAAUCUCAUGGAUCCCCAUCAACACCAACCCAUUGGACAAGCAGACGAAACCUCACCCCCUCCCUCCAACACCGCUACCACUUCAUGCCGCUGCUGCGGCGGCCCCACCACAUGCCCACCUCCACCGGCAUGGUCCGACAUCUCUCCGCCACCCCCCUACCGCCCCAUCCGCGCCCCCGCCAUCAACCUUCCUCCUUCCAACUCUCAACAAGCUAUCAUCCUAGCCCCCGUUCCUCAAGCCCAGAAGACCCCCGUUGUCUCUCCGCCCUAUCUUUUCCAAAUCCCCGUCAAGCGAAUCCAGACCAGACGACAUUCGCCAUUUCCAUGACUCCGAUUCCGGGAAGAACUUCUUAGGUUUCGUCGUUUCCCUUAGCGAAUCCAUUCGCUCCCACAAAAUUUCCGACCCUUGCCACCAAUCACCAAUCCUCAAUUCUAUUCUCUCCAUCCUUCAAUCUCUAAUCGACUGGGUCGACGAAAUACCUCCCGUUCAACAAUCUUCCCGUUACGGUAAUCUCUCUUUUAGGGUUUGGCAAAGUCGGUUGUUCGAUAAUAGCGAGCAACUGAUGCUCCAAUUCCUCCCCGAUGAUCUCCGGUCGGCUACCGUCGAACUCGUCCCUUACUUUGCCGAUAGUUUUGGGAAUUCGAGUCGAAUCGAUUAUGGAACCGGUCAUGAGACCAAUUUUGCUGCGUGGCUUUAUUGUUUGGCUAGAUUAGGGUUGCUCAAGGAAGAGGAUUACCAGGCUCUUGUUUCUAGGGUUUUUGUGAAGUACCUUGAAUUGAUGAGGAAAUUGCAAUUCGUCUAUUGCCUUGAACCUGCGGGAUCCCAUGGAGUUUGGGGUCUGGACGACUAUCAUUUUCUGCCAUUUAUAUUUGGGUCGUCGCAGCUGAUCGAUCACAAGUAUAUGAAACCCAAGUCAAUUCAUAAUCAGGAUAUUCUGGACAACUUCUCCAAGGAGUAUAUGUAUAUUUCUUGCAUUGCAUUUGUGAAGCAGGUGAAGAAAGGCCUAUUUGCAGGGCAUUCCCCAUUGUUAGAUGAUAUUAGUGGUGUAGCUAAUUGGAACAAGGUGAAUAGUGGGAUGCUCAAAAUGUAUAAAGCUGAGGUGUUGGAGAAGGUUCCAAUUAUGCAGCAUUUCCUAUUUGGGUGGCUCAUCAAAUGGUAUGAUCACUGUUAAUGAGUAAUUAGCCCUGUAUGUGAUUCAUGCAUUUUUAGUUCAUUAUAAGUCAUCCACACUUUGCAUCAUGUUUAAUUGGGAAUCUUAAAAUUAUUACGAGUUUUUAUGGUGUUUUAUGAGCAUAAUCGUUAUAUUUAUAUCGUCUAUAUCAGUAACCUAUAUGGAUAUUUGGUGCUAAACCUGAUAUUUUUGGUCCCUGGAUAUUCAUCUAUUAUUUCAAUGACAAUGUUGGUUGAGGAACAACUCUAGUGUUGAUACCUUGAUCCAUGGGUUUUGUCAGGCUGAGACUUUCAUUAGCUAUUUGAUCCUCACCACCACUGAUUGCUAUACUGAAAUUUUUUUACCUAUGAUUUCUGUUAUCAUUUUAUUUAAAGCAUAGAACCCUACUUGUUAGCUAUAUGAUGUAGAAGUGAUGCACUGAGUCAAUGUUCAUGAUGAAAUAGAACCAAAGAGAUUGGCAUUAUGUUGGGUUGGUCCAUUUUUUUGGAUUCAUUAAAUCUAUCAAAAAUAAAUAAAAUUUGGAUUCAUUAACCAAGUUACUACAUAUGUUCCUUUGAUAUUUAUUAUUUGAGUAAUGUGUGUACAAACUACAAUAAAUAUCAGCCUUUUCAUAAAAAUUUUGCUUGAGUUUUCCUUAUCUCUGCACUUUUAACAUGUGUUAAUCUUUCAACGGUCUGCUUUAGUCCUCAUUCUAAGCUUGUUAAUGUGCCUUUACUUCAAACAUCUUUUCCCACCUUCUGAGUCAUUUCUUUUAAGUCAUGUAUCUCAUCUUAUAGAAAUUCAAGUGUAAUCUAAUGUCUUGAGCCAUUUUAAUUAUUUUAGUUUGAUUUGAUUUAAAAAAAAACUUUAAUGAUCAAAACUUUCAAAUUAUAAUGCAUUUGGCUAGUGAAUAUUACUUAUAAGCCCAAUGUCUCUAGACAAAUAUUUCUGGGUUUUUAAUACAUCUCAUGAGUUCCAUUUGGUAUUCUAGCCCUUUUAGCUAAGUGGUUGCAUUUCUACAUGGGAGGUCUGAGAAUCUCAGAAAGCUAAAACUAAAACAAAGUGAUUUAGUUAGUUAGUGCUUAUAUUCUGACUACUGGUUGUGUAAUAAGCUAAAACUAAAACAAACUCUGAUUUUGUGCCUGACAGCUUGUGCAGACGCUGGUAUAGUGUUUCCUCCAUUUCCAUCAACAACAAAGUCACCAUACCAUACCGGGCUUAAGGGAGGAAACAACCAUGGAAAACUGCUCUGAAGCCCUAAGAGUUUCAAUAAACUUCUGAACAGCCCGUGAUGCAUGAAUUCUUAACCAAGUCUCCAGCUAACACUGCUUGGAGACUCUAAUACCCAAAGUUGACAGAGAUAAGGGCUAAGAUUGUUUUACAGACAGUGAUAUAACAUGCUCAAGGUGAAUGUAAGAUGAGAUAUUCCUGGAUUUAUUAGGAUUGCCAGAAAGUCGAGGAGACUGAACAUUGAAGUAUGAACUCUAUGUGGAGAUGGUGCAAUUCCAGGGGGUUGUGCCCAGAGAUUCAAUGUGUCUAGGCUUCUUUCCCGGUAUACGGAUCAGCAUGUCAUUGCAACAAGCACAGAUUCCAGAAGACCACUGAGAUGGACUAUCACUGGUGUGACGAUGAACAGAGAGGUCACUGUAAUGAGGAAUAAUCUCUAUAUCCUAAUCUGACUGUCCUAAAGGAAUAUAGGGGGUGGUACAUAACUGAUGAUGCAUCUGAUCGGUCAUUACUGGGCUGUGGCACAUGAUGCCAUUCUGAAGCAGGUGGCAUGCUCUUGUUAUCAUUCGACUGAGGAAAGACUGAUGGCACAGAUUGUCCUUUGGCAACCCUCAAUAGAAGCAUAAGUGCGUUUUCGAGGCUCUCCAACAAGUUCAUCAACAUGAGCAGGAGGGAGGUCUUUUAAAGUGUUUUGGUUGUUUUUCCCAUCAAUAGGAGUGGUUCUAUACAGGGGUGAGGGGAGCAAUGACCCAUCUAAAGGUACGUACCUAAAUGACUUUUUUCUAAGAGGAACCCAAAGCCCCCAUUGGUUGGACUAGUUGUCUUGGGUUGUAUUUAACUAUGAUACUCCUUUGGUUAUUUCCUUCUUUGAUAGACAAGGAUAGCACAAAAUUCGUGAUAAUCAAAUAUGAAAUUGUCUAAUGCGUGAUAAAGUUUAAUUCAAGACCUUGCAAAAUUCAAAUAUGCACUUUCCAUCCACAAGAUUUAGCAAACUGAUGGGGCCUCUACCUUCUCUGUACCCUCCAACCGUACUCUGGCGUUUUGUGCUAUGGCACUAUAGACCUUCCAGGCUUUUAGUGCUUCAGGGAAUCCCAUUAUUCAUCUUCUAACCAUAUUUAAGAAAAUAUUUUGUUUUUUGUUGUGCUUUUUUAAGUGGUAUUUGCUAUCAACUUAGUGAUACGAGUCUUUCUUAUCUUGAGAUGUUUCCUUUCAAGGCAAAAAACCUAAAACAAAAGUUUGAAGAGCAACCCUUUUACAUAUUUUUUGGACAGAACGAAGAGAAGGAAAACAAAGGUCUUUUGAUAACGUAGAGUAAAUGUAUCUUUCUUUAACAAAUUCUCUUAUUUGUAAUUCUUUCUCAAGAAAGAUUUUUUCAGGUGAUAUUUGUUUUUUUAACUUUUUACUGAAAAUAAUUUAUUUUUAAAAUUUAGGUUGUUUGUUUUUCUAUUUUUUCAUGACUUAUUAUAAAUUUUUUACUAAUUAGAAAAAACUAAAAUAUAUAACUUUUUUUGAAUAAAAAAAAAUAAUAUAUUGAGUUUUUUUACUUUUUAAUAUUUAAUAGAAAUAAAAUACUAUAAAAAUAAAUAACCUAAUAUUUAACAUUAUAAACAUUAUAGUUUUAUUUAGAAUUAAGUAAAAAAACAAACAUCACCUUAGUAUCUUUGCUAAGUGAGGAAAAUUGUUUUUUUAGUCCUCUCCCUAUACAAUGGUUUACCUCGGUGCAUUUUUAUUUUUUAUUUUUUUAUAAAAUUCUUUUCAUUUGCCUACAUUAAUUUGGAUCUACUCAACUAUAUUUACAUGUCCUUCUGAUGUUUUUCUAAAUGCUUUUGCAGGAAGUGUAUAUAUCACCAAAAGUUAGGGAGAGAAAACGACGAACUGCGGUGGUGCGACGGGUUAAAUGAGAUUGCAUUUAGGCUGGCGUUCUGCAGCUUAACCCAACUGAAACUUGAUCGCAUAGUGACUAUCAUCAUUAUUGAUCACCGAAAACUUCGGUAUGUAUAGGCCUAUUGACACUGACGCUGAUACAAUAGUCAUAAAUAUUAUUUAUUGUUAUAUGUCUUCGCACACAGAGGACAUAUUUUCUGAUCAACAAGUGGCAAUGGCAUCUAGUUAACAUAAUUUUUGUAACAUAUAUCACAAAUGUGAUUCAUCACUCUUCCCCUUUGGAGAAGUAGUUGUGUGAUAGUGCAGCACCCCAUAAAGAGAACGCAAUGCUAGAGAAAAAAUUGGUACCUGUUUUUAUGAGACAAUGGGGCGGCGAACAUAUAUAAAAAAGAUAUGAACCCAUAGAGAUAUUGAAAAAAAUAAAAACGAUAAAGAUAACGUGGUAUAAUUAGUGUCCAUAUAUUUGGCACAUUUUUAAUGAUUUUAUACUUUUCGAGAUCGCCACAUAAAUAAAAAUAUCUUUUAGUCAAAUGAUCAUUUUUACAUUUUCAUGAUAUUGUUAUUAUUUUAUGAUAUGUCUUCUAAAAGCAUUUUUAAUGAGAAUUUUAAAUAUUUUUACAACAUAUUUAACAUUCUUAAUCUAUCAUUAUUAUUCUAUAAAAAUAUGAAAUUUUAUUUCAUAAUUGAAGUAAGAAAACAAAAACAUGUGUCUUAAGGAAAGUAAAAGAAAAAAAUAAGUAAAAGUAAAAAGUAAAUUUAAAAUUAAUAAACUAUUUCUAUAUAUUUAUUUAUUUAUAAUUAAAUCAUUUAAAUAUAUAUAAAGUUGUCAAAUUAAUUUAAAUUAUGUGUAAUCUUAUUUCCAAAAUUCUACCAUAAACCAAACCCCUGAACAUCUUUUUUUUUCCUUUAUUUAAUAUUAUUGUCUGAAACAAUAUUAAAGAAACAAACCACAACAUGAACCAUAGUAAGAAAUAUGGAAACAAGGCAGGAAAGGUGCAAAAAACUAGAUUGGAAAGUUGAGAUCUAGAGAAGCACUUGUUCAAAUAUUUUCUCCAAAUUCAAGUAAGAUGAUCCAUCUGGACCAGUGGUAGCCACUUCUGCCCUAUGCUUCCACUCCAUGGUUUUCUUUUUCAUUACUUUGCCUUUCUCUCCCACCAUCAACUCUCUCACAAGCUUUGCAACUUCAUCCCUCUUAACAUCACUGUCUAUCUCCAUUCCUACGCCCCACUCAGUGCAGCAGUAACGACAGUUGGUUUGCUGCUCUGCAAAAAAUGGCCAACAAAUCAUAGGCACUCCAGCGCAUAAACCCUCAAUUGUGGAAUUCCAGCCGUUAUGAGUUAAGAAGCCGCCAAUGGCCUGGUGCGUGAGAACUUGCUCUUGAGGACACCAACCUGCUAGUAAACCCCUGUCUUCUGUUUCUGCCACGAAUUCUGGUGGCAGAAUGGCCGACUCACCAGACACGAGAUCUGGCCUAAGAAUCCACAAGAAGCUUUGAUUGCUAUUUGCAAGUCCCCAAGCAAACUCAAUCAGUUGCUGGGGAGUCAUGACUGUGAUGCUUCCAUAAUUAACGUAAACAACAGAGUUGGGUUCUUUGGAAUCCAGCCAUUUGAGACACUCAGGCUCUUCCUUCCACAGAUUUGAUCCAAUCAACUUUAGUUCGCUAUCGUGAAUCUGAUCCGGAAGUAGCUGAAGAGGACCAAUGGUGUAGAUUGGGGGAUACAUGGGAGCAAUUGCAUCCAAAACCUCCUGCUCUAAAGCGUCAAACGUAUUGAAAAUGAUGGCAGAAGCCUUGCGAGCCCUUUCAAGCUCACCCAUGGCAAAGUCCAGCAUGAUAUCAUCUGGAUCGGUAGUCCGAAUGAAGCUCGGGAGAUCCUUCAAACGGAUACCUUUCAUGCCCGGUAUCCAAUCAACAACAGUAUCCAAAUACCCAUUUGUUAGAUAACUCUCAUCUGCAUAUCACAGAAGAAGGAAAAAUGAAAAAUCAGAGUCGGUAGGAGACUGGGAUUUGAAAAACUUGUAUUCAAAGCCGAACUUGGAAUAAUACCUUUGAGUGGUGUAAAACCCUUGUCGAUGAGACUGCGAUACUGCACAUAGGCCAUGAAGCCACAAGCACUAGCUGUCCAUAAAAGAAGGUCGGGAAUGCCGAGUUCUUGAGCCGCGUCUAAAGUGAAGCUCAUGACAGCGUCAGAAAAUAUGCAAGUGACGGGAGGACCUCUGUCGUUGAGUUUGGCGAGAAGGCGUCUAAAGGGAGCCAAACAGUUUUUUUUGGUGGAUGCACAGAGGGAAGGGAUGUCUUGGGUUGCGUCGACAUUGGACGGUGGGAGACCAUCGGGAAUGGUUUCGAACUGAAAGGUGGGGAGACCAUUGAGGGAGUUGGGGCCCUGGGCCUUGAGUAAGCGUGUGUGGUUGAACUCUGUGUUGACAAAGGUGAUACGAAAGCCUCUGAAAUGGAGGAGCUUUGCUACUUUUAGCAUAGGAUUGAUGUGCCCCUGAGCAGGGUAUGGAAUGCAAACUGCAUGAGGCUUCUCCAUGGAACCCAUUUUUGCUUUGGGAUGCCCUCCCGAUACAUCUGCCUCCAAUUUUAUAGAGUUUUUGAAUAUGGCAUCUAAGCUGUUUUUUUUUUUUUUUUUUCAAAAAAAAAAAAUCAUUGAUAAUACUGAUUUAAUCUAUGAAAUAAAACCGUCUCUGUCUAUAUUGGUUUUUAUUUGAAGUUGAAUAAAGAACCUCCGUCAUCGGUUUUGGUUCAAGUGUUUUUUAAAAAUCAACUUAAAAUCGCAUGUGCCAAAUCGAUUUAACUUUUUUCGAAAAGUCAAUUUCCGAGGCCACAGAAAGGCGGAAAGCAAGGGAGGUUGGUGGAACACCCUUUCCCUUUUUAAAACGGUACCGAACUCACUAAUUUAAUUGCACGAUCGAAGCUGGAAAUAUUUUGUUAUAAUUAAUCAAUCCUGUGCUGCAGCAACGUCUUCCACCUACACUUUUUAUCUUCAAAUCACAGUCGACUGGAAGGAUUAAGUCAUGCGGGAUCCCUUGUUAUUCAUGUAAAAGAAAAAGCCCGCGUUGGAGCCAGGGACUUCCUGUUUGUUUUUCCUGUCACGAUUGAGUGACCGCUAUCCAUGAAAAGUACGAGAAAGAACGUGACAAACUAGGAUCUUGUCAUGAGCCUCUAUCAUCUUCCGUUGAGAAUAAUGAAUUUACCACCUAUAUAUGUUAAAGCUGAUGCUCUGUUUAAAAAUUUUGGACGGCCGCUGCCCUUCCUAGCAUCAAUAUAUUGCACUGCCACGAAUCCAAAGCAAAUCUUUCUCGUUUGCAUCAGACUUUGUUUAAAAAAUGGAACUCAUAGAACUCCGCAGCUGCCCAACUAAUUAAAUCAGAGGACUAAGUUAUCGUCCAUGAAUUUAUUACUGAUAUGAACGUUAUAUAAUAUAAAGAUAAGAGAAGUGAGAGGGUAAGUUGACCAUGCACUCUCAUCUAGAUAUUAUAAUCUUCAACCAGCUCAUCCCUAAUAGGCCUCCCCUGAUAUUGGCUUCUGACUUCUGUGACUGUCUUGCAUAAUGCAUGAUGUCAAGCGAAGAAAGUGUUGGUAAUUUUUUUACUGGAAUUCAAAGAAUUGGAGAUUCGAACAAAAGAAAUGAAUGAUGAAUGAAAACCAUGUUCACGGUAUAGGAACUGCAGCCAAGUAUUGACUAGCAGGUGGAAUGAUACCAUCAGCGCCGAUUGCCUUGAAUAGUUAGUAUGCAUCCUUACUCCUUACCCAUCAUUAUCCAUCAAUUAUCUAGUAUUUAUUAUGAGUGACCAUAUAUUCGCCCACUUGUGCAGGCCCUGCAGAAGAAUAAAUUGAUGAUAUGAACUACUUUUUUAAAAAUAUCUUCCGAGUCUGGCUUGACAUCGAAAUUGAAACAGAGUAAUAAAUUGUACAAUGCCCAAUUCUCUUGGUCUGUGUGACAGAACGGACAUCUUGCUGAUCACUCCAAAGAAAAGAAUACGCAUUGCACCAUAAAAUAAUACAGUCAAGUAUUAUUGCGUCCCUCUUACGUACAUUAGAUUGAUACACUUUUGGAUAGGUUUCUGAAUUGAGAUACUUUGGAUAGUUUGGGCGGCUGGCUGACUCUCUCGUGCUUGGCCAAAUCCUUAAAACCACCUAAUAAAAUACAAACUAAAUUAAUUCAUGAUAAAAAGAAAAAUAAUAAGAGAAAUAGAAAUAGAAGGAAGAGACAUAUUUUCUUACCUAUGUCUUUAGAUAUGAUAAUUAAUUCACUAAUCUUCAAAAUCUAAAAUUGGCUAAAACUCCAACAACUUUGUAUAAAGUCAUUUUUAUACCCUUUGACUAAAGGACUUAUAUAUUCAUAAUAUCCCGAACUUUACAAAAUCAAUUCAUAAUCCUUGUGGGACAAGGAAUCGUAAAAUAUCAUAUCUUAAUUGAGUUCAAAAUUAACAAGCCAAUGUUAUUAUAUUGAUAUGUUUUGUAGCAUUUUCUAGAUGGUUAACGAGGGAUAUGAAUUUAUUUUAGGGGUUCAAAAAUAAAACAAAAUGGGCAUGUAACAUAAUGGGAACUAUGGAUUUGAUGCAAAUGCCUUUCGAAAUAGAUCAAAUCAUCAUUCUUGCUGUAUAAGGAAAUUUAGAGAAAAAAAUAUGGGUUAAACUUCUUUUAACUUGUCUUAUUUCUCAAUUAAUUAUCACUUAUCAUUAACUACGGAUAAACAUGAAAGGAAUAAAUACCCAUGUUGUUAAAUGAAGAUUUAAUCUCUAAAUUUAGAUAGCAUAUAUUUUUAAAUUUUGAAAAAAAAAAUGUCCCAAAAAACAUGAGGGCCAAGUCUAAUUAGACUCAAAGAUGUUGACAACUUAGAAUAAUAUUUCGAAUAAGAAUUUAAUGCAUCAAUUUGCUUUAUUAUUUAUUUGUCAACAUGUAUGCAGUAAGUUAUUAUUAUGACUUAAUUAUUUUCAAUCAAAUGUUCUACUAUAUGAUUGGAUUUAAUAUUUACAUUUGAGUGGGUGUAAUCCCCAGGAUUCGAACUUGGGUCCAAGCCUUAAAGUUUAGGACGUUGCCCUCCUAGUACCAUCUGGGCUACUAGCUCAGAUGGUACCAAGAGGGCAACGUCCUAAGCCUUAAGGCUUGGACUCAAGUUCGAAUCCUAGGGAGACCACUCUGUGAUGCCCCUGACUGGCACAUAGACUUUUUUUGCUCUGGUGCCCAACCAUACCAUCGAACUGUGCCAGACGAGGGCAUCACAGGAAUGGGCCGGACAGCGUAGAGUCUUAUAGGGCCAUUUGUUUAUUUGGCCCUUGGGUGACGUCUCCAGGAUUCGAACUCGGGGCCUUAACCCAGACAGUUGCCCUCCUGGUACCAUCUAGGCUACUAAUGUUGAGGUCUUGCGUCAUGAUCCACAUAACUACCAAAUGGACGCACACUUUCAACCAAGAUAGAGUUCUGGUUCAGUUUUCCCUGCAAAAGAUGUCCGGACAGGGUGUCCAGACACACCCUCCAAUGGUUUUUUCAGUCAUGGUUAGAGAGAUUAAGCAGUUGGCCUUUUACUAGGUAUAGCAAGCUUACCUUCCUCCUUAUGUGAAGGUCCUUAUAUAUAGUAUCAGAAGUUCUGCUUCCCUCUUUAAUGGUAGGGAGACUUUUUGACUCGUCAUGAUGCCUCUAGGUGGUGGCAGGGCUAUCAUCACCCUACAGGUGGCUGUCAGAGAUCGUGGGAAGUGACUUGCCAUCAUUCAUGUCCUUUCGCUCUACAGGUGGCGGAACGUGGGUUGUGGCAGGCUGUCGGAAUGAUGUAGUAAGACUUACUUACUUUAGUCAACGAUCCGGACAACAUAUCCGGAUAGGAUAUGCUAUCGUCCGGAUGUGAUGUUUGCGAGUGCCGUGUGCUUCUCCCUGAGGAAGUCCGGAUGGAGUCACUCCGGACAGCGAGGCGCCCACGUAUCAUAAGGGGGAGGGGUCCCUACAAUGAUGAGCAGUGCAUAAAUACAUUUCCACUUUAUUCACCUUACUAAUACUACAUUUAAAUAUGGUGCACAAAAGUUCAUCAUAAAACAAGGAAAGGAACGUGCGGAUGCUAAGUUUUAACUUGUUGGAAUGCUUGGGAUUUGGAGAAACACUUGAUUUAUCAUUUUGUCCAAGUUGGAGUAAGAUGAGCCAUUUGAAUCAAUGGUGGCCUUUUGUGCCAUCUUCUUCCACUCCAUGGCCUGCUUUUUCAUCUCUUUGCCUUUGUCUCCCUCGAUCAAUUCUCUCACAAGCCUCUCAACUUCAUCUCUCUUAACGUCACUGUCGAUCUCCGUGCCUAUGCCCCAUUCUGUGCAACAGUAGCGGCAGUUGGUUUGCUGCUCUGCGAAAAAUGGCCAGCAAAUCAUGGGCACUCCUGCACUCACACUUUCCAUAGUGGAAUUCCACCCGUUGUGAGUUAAGAACCCACCAACGGCAGGGUUGCUGAGAACUUCCUCCUGAGGACACCAACUUGCUAGCAGACCCCUGUUUUUGGUCUCUGCCAAGAAUUGUGGCAGAAGAAUGGCCGACUCACCAGACACAAUAUCCGGCCUUAUUAUCCAUAAGAAUGUUUGAUUGCUAUUUGCCAGUCCCCAAGCAAACUCAUUGAGUUGAUCUGUUGUCAGGCUUGUCACGCUUCCAAAAUUCACGUAAACAACAGAGUUGUGUUUUUUGGAGUUGAGCCAUUCGAAAAAACCCCAUUCUUCUUUCCACAGAUUUGAUCCAAUCAACUGCAAAUCAUUAUCUUGGACCUGAUUCACGAGUAGACUUAAAGGACCAAUGGUGUAAAUUGGAGGAAACAUUGGUGAAAGUGCAUCCAAAACAUCCUUCUCGCAUCAAACGUAUUGAAAAUGAGGGCAGAAGCUUUGUGGGCUCUUUCAGCCUCAUGCAAUGGAAAGUCCAGCAUAAUUUCAUUUGGGUCUGUAGUUCGAAUGAAGCUCGGGAUGUCCUUCAGACGAAUACCUCUCAUACCAGGUAUCCAAUCAAUAACGGUGUCCAGAUACCCAUUUGUUAAGUAACUGGGGUCUUCAUGUCACAGAAAAAACAGAUUCAAAAAAAAAAAAAAAAAAAAAAAAUACAAGAAUCGGUACUGCUAACUCGGAUUUGAAAAUGUAUAUGCAAAUUGGGGUUUAGGUUGAUACCUUUAAGGGGUAUAAAACCCUUGUCGAUGAGAUUGCGAUACUGCAAGUAGCCCAUGAAGCCACAAGUACUAGUUGUCCAGAAAAGAACGUCAGGAAUGGCCAGUUCUUGGGCAGCAUCAAGAGUGAAGCUCAUGGCACCAUCAGAGACUAUGCAAGUGACAGGAGGCCCGUCGUGGUUAAGUUGGGAAAGAAGGUCUCGAAAAGGAUCUAAGCAGUUUUUUCUGGUGGAGGCGCAGAGGUAGCGGAUAUCUUGGGUGGCGUCUUCAUCGGACGGAGGGAGACCAUCGGAAAUGGUUUUGAAUUGGAAGGAAGGCAGAUCAUCAAGGGAGUUGGGGCCACGGGACUUGACCAGGCGCUUAUGGUUAAACUCCGUGUUGACGAAAGUAAUAUGUAAGCCUUUGAAACAGAGGAGCUUUGCUAAUUUUAGCAUAGGGUUUAUGUGGCCUUGAGCUGGGUAUGGUAUGCAAACUGCAUGAGGCUUCUCCAUGGAGACAACUCAGCUCUUUAUCUUUGCUCUCUCUUCCAGUCUUGUAUAUCAUCGUGCCGACCCAGCUCCGGUCUUAUAGGGCGGGAGAGAGAGGGUCUCUACACAAUAUGUUUAACUCUCGAAAAAUAUUAUUAAGGAAAAAAAAUUAUUUAAAAAAAUAUUUUUUUUAUAUUUAACUUUACUAUAAAAAAUUUCAAAAAAAAAAAAUCAAAUACAAUUAAAAUUAAUUAAACUUCAUUUAUAUUAAAUUUAUUUAACUUAUUAAUAAAAAUAAUUAAAAAAUAAUUUAUUAAUCUUAAAUUUAUUUUUUACUUUUUAUUAUUUUUUUCUCUUUCAAAUUUUCAGAACCAAACACAGCGUUAAAGAACACGCAUGCAGUCAUUUUUCACAUGCGAGGAUGUUGAUGGGUGUUGUCGACCACCUAACUCUCACAGUUUAAAUAAUAUAUAUAUAUAUUUUAAAAUUUUAACUACUUUUUUUUUUUAUGUAAAAGAACCCUACUUUUACUGUACCAGAGGUGAUGUCUUUUUGUUGGAAUUAGUAUCAAAUGGAUGCUUCAUUGUACCUAAGUUAAAGCAUGCUUAAAUUUUAAUUCUUGUAUAUCUUGUUUUCUGCAGGAUAUUAGAGUAAAACAGGUUUCACGCAUUAUUGGACGAUCACGCCAUUUCUCUUCCAGAGUUGGAAAGUCCAACGGAGAGCAGAACUCGUUUUCAAUGACUCAAUUAUUUUCCGUUGAUUCCGUUGAUUAGACGGGAUAGCAUCAUGGUAGGCCAGACGGGAUUUAGUCGGACUGAAAACUCAAUAAUUUAGACGUACACAACUUUAGAAAAGGAAUUGGGUUAUUGAGGACGAGGUUCGGAAAGGAAGUGGAAUUAGGACAAAAAUAGAAGACGAGUGAAAGACUCGGUUGAGGAACUGAGAACCAUGUUGAUGAGUAAUGCUGCGCGCAAGGCAAAGAACAAAAAGUAUGAUACAAGCACCCCGAAUCCUUGCGGUUUCUCCGUGUACCCGUCUUUUGUUUCCAAGGAAAGUGACGUUGGAGUAGUGAUUAUCCUGAGGCACAUUGCGACUCCCGUAAAGAUAACAAACUGCACCCUUUCUUGCUCUUGGUAUACCAUUUCUGAUUUCCAUGAUUAGCAAAAUCAGAAAAAUUUCUCCUGUUAUAGAAUAGAUAGCUAAAUUAGAAAAGUCAAUCUGUACAUAGCGUGAUGAGGUCCCUCAAUUUCUCCCAUCUCUUUUUACUCACUCUCAAAGCAGUAGGAAAAAGUAAACUGAUCCCCAUGCUGUCGUCGGCCUUACCCAGGAUAAAAAACUGUUGAUGUGGAAUCGUGUACUGCAAAUAAAUGAAGCACAUGUUCCAUGUGGUUUCAGAUGCGUUUUGCAUGCGUAUGGACACGACAAAUUGGCUUUCAUGCAAGUAGGAUCAAUUAUAACUCAAUCUUUAAUGAAAUAUUCUUAAUAGUUUUUUUUACCAAAAAAUUAUAUACUAACUAAAAGUUUGAAGUACUUUUUAUAUGAAGAACACAGCAUUACAAAAUAUCUUCAAUAUUCAGGUACAGCAUGAGUAUUUUUUUAUUUCGUAAACAAUACGUCAGACUAUUGAAAACAACAAAUGAAGCAUCCAGAGCAAAAUAAUAGACGAGUCAGAAUUCGCUGAGUUGGGACAUUCGAGAAAGGAGUGUCUAGGGUCUAGAGAAGAGCUUGAGUGAUCAUUUUGUCCAAGUUCGAGAAAGACGACCCCUUGGGACCUCUAGUGGCCUCUUCUGCUAGAGUCUUCCACUCCAAGGCCUUCUUCUUCAACUCUUUGCCUUUCUCUCCCUCCAUCAACUCCUUCACAAGCCUUUCAAUUUCAUCUCUCUUAACAUCGCUGUCUAUCUCCAUGCCUAUGCCCCACUCAGUGCAACAGUAGCGGCAGUUGGUUUGCUGCUCUGCAAAAAAGGGCCAACAAAUCAUAGGCACUCCAGCGCUCACACUUUCAAUUGUGGAAUUCCAUCCGUUGUGAGUUAAGAAGCCGCCAACAGCCGGGUGACUGAGAACUUGCUCUUGAGGACACCAACCUGCUAACAGACCCCUCUCUUUCGUCUCUGCCACGAAUUCUGGUGGAAGAAUGGCCGCGUCACCGGACACAAGAUCUGGCCUAAUUAUCCAUAAGAACGUCUGAUUGCUAUUCACAAGUCCCCAAGCAAACUCAUUGAGUUGCUGCGAUGUCAUCACUGUGAUGCUCCCGAAAUUCACGUAAACAACAGAGUUGGGCUCUUUGGAGUCCAGCCACUCCAGACAUUCCGGCUCUUCUUUCCACAGAUUCGAUUCCAUCAACUUCAAAUCGUUAUCUUGGAUCUGACUCAUGAGUUGGUGCAGGGGACCGAUGGUGUAGAUUGGGGGAAACAUCUGAGAAAGUGCAUCCAAAACUUCAUGCUCUAGAGCAUCAAAUGUAUUGAAAAUGAGGGCAGAAGCCUUGCGAGCUCUUUCAGCCUCCCGCAAUGGAAAUUCCAGCAUAAUUUCAUUUGGGUCCGUAGUUCGAAUGAAGCUUGGGAUAUCCCUCAAACGGAUACCUUUCAUACCCGGUAUCCAAUCAAUAACGGUAUCCAGAUACCCAUUUGUUAGGUAACUCUCAUCUGCAUUUCAUAGAAAGGAGGGGAAAAAAAUAUGAGAAUCCGUAUUGAGCUUAGCUUUGAAGUAAUUAAAUGCAAAGUUGGUCAGUAUUUGAUUCAUUUGAAUGAUACCUUUGAGUGGAGCCAAACCCUUAUCGAUAAGAUUGCGAUAUUGCACGUAGCCCAUGAAGCCGCAAGCACUAGUUGUCCAGAAAAGAACUUCAGGAACGCCAAGCUCUUGAGCAGCAUCAAGAGUGAAGCUCAUGGCGCCAUCAGAAACUAUGCAAGUGACUGGAGGGCCAUCGUGGUUGAGGUUGGAAAGAAGGUCUCUAAAGGGAGGCAGGCAGUGUUUUCUGGUGGAGACACAGAGGGCGGGAAUGUCUUGGGUGGCAUCAACAUUGGAGGGAAGGAGACCAUCGGGAAUGGUCUUGAAUUGGAAGGAGGGGAUGCCCUUGAGGGAGUCUGGACCCCGAGAUUUGAGCAGGCGGUUAUGGUUGUACUCUGUGUUGACAAAGGUAAUGUGGAACCCUCUGAAAUGAAGGAACUUAGCUAGUUUUAGCAUAGGGUUUAUGUGGCCUUGUGCUGGGUACGGUAUGCAAACUGCAUGUGGCUUCUCAGCUGAGGCUAAGGAACCCAUUCUCUCUCUCUCUAUCUCUCACUUUCACUCUGUCCUCAAUUGGUAUAUGCCCAUGACAUUGGAAGUAGCUUGGGUUUUAUAGCCCCAGGAGAGAGGGUCAAACAAGUUACUUAUAUUUAUAUAUAUAUUAAAGACAGAAGUCAGAAGUCAAAUAAAUGCUGCAAUAUUAAUAUAUGUACAGCUGUAUCAGAGAGUAACUAAAGGUCAAACUUGGCUCUCUCCUUUAUCUAGGUUAACCCACCUGUCCUCCAUACUUCACGGCAGGUGCCUAAUGCUUUUCAUAGGAGAUGUACAACAGAUUCAAUAUUUACACAAUUAUCAACUUUUAAUUACCUACCCCUUUAAUAUAUUACUCUUAAGCAAUAUAAACGAUAUACAAAUACCUAUUUUUGUAAUGCAGUAGGAUCUUGACAAUCAAUUAUUUGGUCCUGAUCCUGGAACCAUGUAUCAACAGCCGGUCACCCUUUAAAAAUCAUGAAUUAGACAACCCAUGCUUUUUUCGGACAAAAAACAACCGACAAGGGAUUUCCACAACUUUUUCUAAUGGAUGAACAUACCUUUUCUGUAUCUCUUUAUGUACAUAAACCAAUAAUUUGGGCAGUCCAAAAGCUUUGCGGAUUCUAUGUGGGGCUAAAUGGUAUCAUUCAUCUUCUGUGUUGGCCCGCAGUCGACAUGGCACAAGAACUUCACAAUUUGUACUGGUAUGGAGUUUAUUUUCUUAUUAAGAAUGUUUGUCCAAACCGAUAUGAUAUAUGGUUUGUAUUUGUGAAAGAAAUAUCUUCAAAUUCUGAAAAGGCAUAAACCUAACCCCGCCGCAAGCUAAAAGUUGACCAAAGAAAGUCGAUAAGCUUUUAAAACUCGUUCCAAGUUGUCGGAUGUCCACACCUAUAUAUUAUUAUUUAUAGGUGUGCGAAUGGAUGAGAAAUCUAUUAUAUAUGAUGUUAAUGGUUAAGUCGGACCCAUACAAACAAAAGAUGAAGUCGGUAUAUAUAAUGGAAACAAAGAGGUGGAAACAAAGAGGUGCUAAUCGCUAUGAAUUGAAGACAGAAUGCAUCCACCCCAUACAAAAAUGUCGACCAUAAGAUGAAAUAAAAUAUUUAGAGAAGAUAAAUGUGAGGGCGGUGACAAGAUUGAGGAGCUUAAAACAAUGAUUAAAAUAUAGGGAUAUUUCAACGAUGUGUCUGUGUCGAUAUGAGCUAUUUACAUGCUGUCCGGCGAGUUGAAGCUUCAACCAUCCACAUUACUGUUGAGGCAAGUUUUCCCCUUGUUAAUAAUCUUACACUAUAUAUAUAUAUAUAUUAAAAGUUUUCAUAUACACUAAAUAUUUAAACAAUUAAUUAAUUAUAUUUAUUUUAUAAUUAAAUACAAAAUUUUCAUUUAAUUGAGUAAUAAAAAGUUUUUAAUAUCAUUAAUAUAUUAAUUAAAUAUUAAAAAAUUAUACAUUUAUCAUCAUUUAUUUUAUAUCAUUUAAUACAAUUAAAUUAAAUAUAUUAUAAUUUUAAUAUUAAAUAUAUUUUAAAAUUAAAUAUAUUAUAAUCAAAUAUCAUAAUAUUAUUAUCGAAUAAUAUUUGAUGUAAUUUAAUAAUUAAUAUACACUUUUAUACAUAUGUAUUAAUUUAUUCAAUAAAACAAAUUUAAAAUAUCUAUUACAUUUCUAAUUUAAUUUUUAAAAACUUUAUUUUAUAUUUUUAAAAGUUUUGAUCAAUUUUAAGUCGAUCAAUUUUUUGUAUCAAAAUAUCCAUCAAUAUAUUUUCGAUAUAUCCGUAAAAUCGAAUUAUCGAUAUAUUAGUGAUUACCGAUAAUUUUAUCAUUGGCUUAAAAGAGAAGUGAUGCUAUGGGACCAAAAAAAAAAAAUCUGAUCCUGUGAGAGAUUCCUUGGGGGGUCUGAAUGUUUUUGCUGGCUUCCUUUGCCAUUCUUUCACGUACCUUAUGUUCGCAUUCCUGGAAAGACAACUCCCAUUUUCAUUCUUUCCUUUCAUUCAAUCAUUACGAAGACCACAAACUUCAGUAUUGUACGGCUUUAUCUGGGUCUAAAUUUUCUGGUCAUUUUCUUGAUCCUUCCGUGAACCAUUGGAACGCCAUGGAGCUUAACUUCUUGUUUAUAUAUAUAUAUAUAUAUAUGAACAUCAAAUGCAGGUAAGUUAGGACAUUGUAGGGACCCCUCCCUCCGAGACACGUGGCACGCAUCUUACAGUGACACGUGGCACGCAUUGUCAUCCAGGUCAUUUUCAUCCGGACCUUCUCAUAAAGCACAAUGGCACGCUUUUCCGGACUACCUCAAGGAAGAUCAAACGACACUUAUAAGCAUAUCAUCCGGACGAUUUACACAAUGCAUCCGGAUGAUCAACAUAGGCCGUCCGGAUACAAUGGUCCGGACCACUAACUAAAGUAUAGCGAGUCUUACACGCUAUCACGACAACCAGCCAUGGCCCACGUCCCAUCACCUGCAGAGUGAAAGGACGGGUUGAGGUGACAACAAGUCACUUCCCACGAUCAUUCUACAUGAUCACUUCCCACGAUCAUUCUACAUGAUCACUUCCCACGAUCUCUAAGCAGCAGCAUCACCUACCACGGUUUCUGACAGCCGCCAGUAGGGUGGCGAUGACCAUGCUGCCUCCGAAUGUCAUCAUGACAAACAUAAAAUAUCUCCUCGCCAUUAAUGAGAGGAACAAUACUCCUAGCACUAUAUAUGAACCUUCGCACGAAGAAGAAGGUAAUCUCCAGAUACCGAGUAAAAGGCCAACUGAUUUAUAUCUCCCUCUCUAGCCAUGGCUAACAAAACCAUUAGAGAGUGCGUCCGGACACUCUGUCCGGAUGCCUUUUUGCAGGUAUAACGACUGAAUCAAGAACCUUUGUGUGUUGAGAUCGCGUCUCCAUCCAUUUGGCAACUACGUGGAAGCCCAGGAGUGCGAGGUAUUAACAUUGGCGCCGUCUGUGGGAACAUUUUUACUUUGAUUCAGUCACCAAAAAAGAUGGCUACACCUUCCCGAAGCCGAUCAUCUGGUAAAGGAGUGGAUGGAUGAUAAUUUUGAAUGACGUCAAACCAUCGAAAGAAGACAGUUGGCAAGCGAACGACAACUAAAAGCUCUCCUCCAAGAGACAGAAAGAUUGAGAGAAGAAAACACUGUAUUACGUAUCCAGGUUUCAACAUCAGGGCCUCCUCGACGUCGGCAUUCAAGGGGCCAAGUAGCAAACUCGAGGCCUCAGUAAGAGCCGGAAUCAAUAUAUCCUGGGACAACAGGGGCUAUCCCAGGGGCAUGCAACGUAAGGCCUCACGAGCCACGCACGCCUAUGCCUCGAGCUCCCCGUGAUGAAAGCUCAGACUCUACUCACUUUUCAGCAAAAAGACAACGUGAUAAAAAAUCACAGUUGUCAAAUUCGAUGCGCGCAAGACUAGGCCCGCAAGAGCCUAGAAGAUCAAGGCCACCAAUGGCCACAACCUGGGCACCACGCCCUGACCCCAUGGCCACCCCCAUGGUGCAAAACGUUCACCCGCAUCGUGACCCCGUAGUCACCCUCGUGAUGCGGAACGUUCAUUCGCACCCAGCGGAACGACCAGCUGGGAGAAACAUCCCAAACGAGCCGAUCAUUGGCUCCAUCAGCAAAAGGCUGGAUGACAUGCUCUCCACGCCUUUUUGCUCUCAUAUCAUUAAUUACGAGCCCCCAAGGGGAUUCCUCGUACCAAAGUUUUCCACAUACGAUGGAACCAACGAUCCCUUCGAUCACAUCAUGCAUUAUCGACAGCUUAUGACGCUCGAUAUUGGCAACGAUGCACUGCUAUGCAAAGUAUUUCCCGCCAGCUUACAAGGACAGGCCCUCUCAUGGUUUCAUCGCCUACCUCCCAACUCUGUUGGCGAUUUCAGGGACCUGUCCGAAGCUUUCGUGGGACAAUACUUGUGCUCCGCACGACACAAGCAAAAUAUCAGCACCCUGCAGAACAUAAAAAUGCAAGAUAACGAAUCCUUGAGGGAAUUCGUGAAGCGAUUUGGCCAGGUCGUGCUUCAAGUAGAGGCUUGUAGUAUGGAUGCUGUCCUACAGAUCUUCAAGCGAAGCAUCUGUCCAGGCACUCCAUUUUUCGAAUCACUGGCUAAAAAGCCUCCUACAACGAUGGAUGACUUAUUCAGACGAGCCAACAAAUAUUCAAUGCUCGAAGAUGACGUACGUGCAGCCACCCAGCAAGUUUUGGUUGCCGGACGGCCAUCUAGAAGUGAUGCGGAGAGAAAUACUAAGCCUUCGGAUCGACCAAAGCCGUCUGACCGAAGGCAGGAAGGGCCAAGUCGCUCGGAAAGGCCGCCUCUCACACCUCUUUCCAUAUCAUAUGAAAAACUUCUCCCCAUGAUCCAAGGCUUGUCUGACUUCAGGUGGCCAAGACCCCAAGGAACAGACCCCUCCACAAGGGAUCAUAGCAAGAGAUGUGUCUUCCACAAAGAUCAUGGCCAUACAACAGAGACAUGCCGAGCUUUCCAGUUUCUGGUCGAGAGGCUUAUAAAAGCAGGGCAUUUGAAGCAAUACCUCCGAUCAGAUAAUGGAGAAAGGGACGCAUCCCAACAUCACAACCCCGGGGCCCCUAGGGCCCCAACUGCCCCCAAGGCCAUUAUAAACUAUAUUAACGGAAGUCCAUCUGAUGAGGAGUACGACUCUAGGCGAAAGAGACAAAAAUUGUUGCGGGCCGCAUCAAUACGCGAACGCAUCAAUUCCAUCCGACCUGGGCUAACUGGAGGGGGCCCUCGCCCCAUAGAUGGGACAAUCAUUUUCCCACCAGUAGAUCCCACCAGGACACUGCAACCACAUCGCGACGCCCUCAUCCUGUCCCUGGAAAUUGGGGGCUUUGAUGUGCGGCGUAUCUUAGUUAACCCAGGCAGCUCGGCCGAUCUUAUACAAGCAUCAGUCGCUAGCCACAUGGGACACAGUCUCACAGUCCUUGAAAACCCUGGACAAAUCUUGUCCGGAUUCAACGGAUCGUCAACUAUAUCUUUGGGAGACAUUGUACUGCCGGUCCAAGCUGGCCCAGUCACUCUCAACGUGCAAUUCUCGGUAGUACAAGAGUUAUCACCCUUCAAUAUCAUCUUAGGGCGCACAUGGCUACACUACAUGAAAGCCAUCCCCUCUACAUAUCAUCAAAUGGUGAGUUUCAUCACCAGCGAGGGGCAGAUUGACCUGUAUGGCAGCCAGUUAGCCGCUCGCCAAUGCUAUCAAAUAGCACGAGAGGCAGGGGCCAACCAGGAGGAUGCAUCUCCCCCUGAACCCAACAUUGCACAUGACCAAUAGCAAUUAUUGGGUCGGGCGGACAAAGAUCCCCCGGCAGCAGAUCCUUUACAAACAAUCCAAAUUUCGAAGGAAAGCACUCACCUUACAAACAUCAGCUUCCUCAUGACAGCCGAAAAAACUCAGUGUAUGCAAAACAUUCUCAGACAGAAUCAUGACAUCUUCGCAUGGGCACAUUCUGAUAUGAAGGGAAUUCAUCCCUCUAUUGCAUCUCACAGGCUUAACGUCUUUUCAACUGCCAGACCCGUCCGGCAGAAAAUUAGGCGUUUUCACCCGGAUAGACAAAAAGUCAUCCGAAAUGAGAUGGACAAAUUGCUCGAAGUCGGAUUCAUCAGAGAAGUUUCUUAUCCGGAGUGGUUGGCAAAUGUAGUGGUGGUACCCAAAAAAGAAGGAAAGUGGCGAGUUUGUGUAGACUAUACCAAUCUCAAUAAUGCAUGUCCAAAAGACAGUUUUCCCUUGCCACGAAUAGAUCAGAUUGUGGAUUCCACGUCCAGGCAAGGGAUGCUCUCUUUCUUGGAUGACUUCUCCGGAUAUCAUCAAAUCCCCAUGUCCCCGGACGAUGAAGAAAAGACAGCAUUCAUAACGCCACACGACCUCUAUUGCUACAAAGUCAUGUCAUUCGGACUCAAAAAUGUUGGUGCCACUUAUCAAAGAUUGAUGACUAAAAUCUUCGAACCUCUAAUAGGCCACACGGUAGAGGUAUAUAUUGAUGAUAUCGUGGUUAAAAGCAAAACCCGAGAGCAGCAUGUCCUUCACUUACAAGAAGUUUUUCACCUCUUACGAAAGUAUGGCAUGAAGCUAAAUCCUUCUAAAUGCGCAUUUGGCGUAAGUGCUUGCAAAUUUCUGGGAUUUAUGGUCAGCCAAAGGGGCAUAGAAGUCAGCCCGGAUCAAGUCAAAGUAGUCAUGGAAACACCCCCUCCCAGGAACAAGAAGGAGCUACAACGACUCAUAGGCAAGCUCGUCGCACUAGGGCGUUUUAUAGCCCGCUUCACUAAUGAAUUGCGACCCUUCUUCUUGGCAAUACGAAAAGCUGGAGCACAUGGAUGGACGGACAGUUGCUAGAACGCUUUCGAAAAGAUUAAGCAUUGUCUUACGCAACCGCCCAUCUUGAGCAGCCCCAUUCCAAAAGAGAAAUUGUAUAUGUAUCUGGCGGUAUCAGAAUAGGCAAUCAGCGUCGUUCUAUUCCGCUGCCCCUCGCCCAAGGAGUGAAAACCUAUCUACUACGUCAACAGGGCAUUGGCUGACGUAGAAACCAGAUAUUCAAAAAUGGAGCUAACAGCCUUAGCCCUUCGAAACGCUGCUCAGAAGCUCCGCCUUUAUUUCCAAGCUCAUCCAGUGAUCGUACUAACUGACCAGCCCCUUCGCAAUAUUCUGCACAAGCCAGAUUUAACCGGGAGAAUGCUACAAUGGGCCAUUGAAUUAAGCGAAUUUGGAAUCGAAUUCCAACCUAGGUUGUCCAUGAAAGGCCAGGUAAUGGCUGACUUCGUGCUAGAAUAUUCCCGAAGACCCAGCCAACACCACGAAUCAAGUAAACAAGAAUGGUGGACUCUGCGAGUUGACGGAGCCUCACACUCAUUCGGCUCUGGAAUUGGGCUCCUACUACAAUCCCCAACUGGGGAACAUUUGGAGCAAGCCAUCCGGCUGGGAUUCUCUGCCUCUAACAAUGAAGCAGAAUAUGAGGCUAUCUUGUCCGGAUUGGACCUCGCCCUUGCUCUAUCCGUCUCCAAACUCCGAGUCUACAGCGACUCACAACUCGUGGUAAAGCAUGUCCAGGAGGAAUAUGAGGCUAAGGACACACGCAUGGCGCGAUACUUAGCUAAAGUAAGAGAGACUUUGCAGCAAUUCACCGAAUGGACAAUCGAAAAAAUCAAGCGAGCUAACAAUAGGCGCGCUGACGCCUUGGCUGGCGUAGCUGCCUCCCUCCCUAUCAAAGAAUCCAUUCUAUUGCCCAUACAUGUGCAACUCAACCCCUCUGUCGCAGAAAGUUCCACCUGCAAUACCAUUGAGGCACCCCAAGCGGACGGCCAAGAAUGGAUGAAUGGCAUCACAUAAUAUAUCCGGACUGGAACUUUACCAGGAGAUCUCAAACAGGCACACAAAGUCCGGGUGCAAGCUGCCCGUUUCACCCUGAUUGGGGGGCACCUAUACAAGCGAUCCUUCACAGGACCUUACCUUCGAUGCCUAGGGCAUUCAGAGGCCCAGUAUGUGUUAGCUGAGUUACACGAAGGAAUAUGCGGGAAUCAUUCAGGAGGACGAUCUCUGGCACAUCGAGCCCAUUCACAGGGAUAUUAUUGGCCAACAAUGAAGAAGGAUGCGGCAACAUACGUCAAAAAUUGUGACAAAUGUCAAAAGCAUGCUCUCAUUCCACAUAUGUCAUCAGCAACAUUGAAAUCAAUAUCAAGCCCAUGGCCCUUCGCACAAUGGGGCAUGGACAUAGUAGGACCUCUCCCAGUUGCGCCUGCCCAAAAGAAAUUUUUGCUCGUUGCCACAGAUUAUUUCAGUAAGUGGGAGGAAGCUGAAGCAUAUGCUAGCAUCAAAGACAAGGAUGUCACCAAGUUCGUAUGGAAAAAUAUUAUCUGUCGUUUUGGAAUUCCCCAAGCCAUCAUAGCUGACAAUGGUCCACAAUUUGAUAGCAUUGCAUUCAGGAACUUCUGUUCGGAGCUAAACAUCCAGAAUUCAUACUCCACACCGCGAUAUCCUCAAAGUAAUAGGCAAGCAGAAGCCACAAACAAGACCCUAAUCACUGCCUUAAAGAAUAGGCUUGAACAAGCCAAAGGAAAAUGGGUCGAGGAGCUACCCGGCGUCCUAUGAGCCUACCGAACUAUACCCAGACGGCCAACAGGAAAUACUCAUUUCGCUCUCGCAUAUGGAAUGGAUGCAGUCAUUCCUACUGAAAUAGGUCUUCCUACUAUCCGGAUUGAUGCAGCAAAACAGAGUGAUGCAAACAUGGAAUUAGGAAGAAAUUUGGAUUGGACGGAUGAAGUGAGGGAAAGCGCGGCCAUCCGGAUGGUAGAUUAUCAACAAAGGGCAUCAGCACAUUACAAUCGCAAAGUGAGGCCAAGAAGCUUAAAAAAUGGUACGCUAGUCCUUAGAAAAGUUUUUGAAAACACUGCUGAAGUCGGUGCAGAGAAAUUCCAAGCUAACUGGGAAGGACCCUAUAUAGUGUCUAAGGCAAGUGAAAGUGGAGCCUAUUAUUUACAAAAGUUAGACGGGACUCCAUUACUUAGACCAUGGAAUGUGUCCAAUUUAAAACGGUACUAUCAAUGAAAAAGAGAGACAAAAACAAAUAGAAGAAAAAGACAUAUUUUAUUGAUAUGUAUCAAUGAAUGUACAAAGAGGUCUUCGGACCACGAAAAUACAAAAAAAAAUUACAACAAAAAGUUGCAAAAAGACAAAAGCUAUCAGGGAGCAGCCUUAAAGUUUCUUCUCUUCACCCGGAGGAAUUGAAGGGACAUCCCCCUUUAUGCCAUUCUUCUUCAUACAGCAGCGAUAACCGAAGAUGAAGGUGUCAUCCACUUGUUUUUGGUAGUCCGCUUCAAGUUCCUCCCUCUCUGCAGCAAACUCCCGUUCUAGCUCUUCUUUUUGCGCUGUUAAGCGUAGCUGCAAAUCUUCUUUUUGCUUCUUUUCAAUAGAAGCCUCUGUCCGGAGUUGCCUCACUUCCCCCCCCCCCCCCCCCCCCAUCCGGGCUAUCUCAUCCUCUGCCUCAUGCAGACGGGCAAUCGAUGAUUCCUCCCGGUCCUUAGCCUCAGCCAAUUUCGCCCGAAGGGCUUCAUUGUCCUCUCGAACGGUGGAUAAGCUGGCCUCAGCCUCCGCCAGUCUCAGGCGCAACUGAUCUUCAGCAUCUUUGCGCCGAGUGGCGAAGNNNNNNNNNNNNNNNNNNNNNNNNNNNNNNNNNNNNNNNNNNNNNNNNNNNNNNNNNNNNNNNNNNNNNNNNNNNNNNNNNNNNNNNNNNNNNNNNNNNNUUUUUUUUUUUAUUGUUCAAAAGAAAUCCAAAAGGGUUUUUUGGCCCCCGAAAAUAAAAAAAAAAAUUCACAAAAAAAGUUGAAAAAAAAAAAAAGUUUUUGGGGGGCCCCCUUAAAUUUUUUUUUUUUCCCCCGGGGAAAUAGAAAGGGCCCCCCCCUUUAUCCCUUUUUUUUUUAAAACAGGGGAAAAACAAAAAAAAAAGGGUUCCCCCCCUUUUUUUUGGGGAUCCCCUUAAAAUUCCCCCCUUUUGGGCAAAAAACCCCCUUUUAAUUUUUUUUUUUGGGGAGUAAAGGGGGGCCCAAAAUUUUUUUUUUUUUUUUUUUAAAAAAAAACCCUUUUCCGGGGGUCCCCCCUUUUCCCCCCCCCCCCCCCCCCCCAUCCGGGCUAUCUCAUCCUCUGCCUCAUGCAGACGGGCAAUCGAUGAUUCCUCCCGGUCCUUAGCCUCAGCCAAUUUCGCCCGAAGGGCUUCAUUGUCCUCUCGAACGGUGGAUAAGCUGGCCUCAGCCUCCGCCAGUCUCAGGCGCAACUGAUCUUCAGCAUCUUUGCGCCGAGUGGCGAAGGUCUUCAUAUAAUCAGUGGUCCGCAGCAGGUCAGUGAAAAGAUCGUAUUGAUUGGCCAUACCACGGAGACCACUCACCAGCUGCAGGCAAACAGACAAACAAGAAAAACAAAGUUAUAAAUCACACCACAAACACAUAUCAGAAUGAGAAAGAUUCAAGGAACACAGAAAAGUAUACCGACUCCACCAUCUCGAACAUCUUGGCUGAAGGCAUAAUACUGGUCAAGCUGGGUGGAAUCUGUUUCAGCUUAUCUUCCAACUCCGCAUAGCUAAAAGGGCUAGCGGAGGUGCAAGACGCAUCAUUAACAGGAUCCCCGCCUGAUGAGGCAACAGAAGGAGACUCUGGUUCCGGAUUCGGUGCCUUAACAUUUACGACCGAAUGGGUCUCCCCGGGUGCAACCUCAGCCGGGACCAUUACAAGGACGACUGGAGGCUCAGUUGUCAUCUCCACUUCGCCCCCCUCCGGAUGAGCGUCGUGAGCGGAUGAGCAACUAACUUCGAUCUCUUGUUAACGAUCUUGAAGCCACCCGAGGAGUCCGGACCUCUGAUUGCGCGCCGAGCGCGGCCUCUUCGAAGGUGGCCCCUUCACCAGAACAAGAGUCAGACGGUCCGGAUCGUCCGAGGGCUGACUCUGGCUUUCGAUCCCCGCUUCCUCCAUCGGGUCCGCACAAACGGCUUCAACUGCAUCGACAUCCGGAUUAGGGGAGUCCGGAUGGUUGAUGGAUGCAGCUUCCUCAGCCAGAUUAGCCAGACGGGCAACCGCUGCCAAUGAGGUACUUGAGUGGUUCAGCCCCACGACGUGUCCGGAACCGCUUGAGAUAGAAUGAGGAGCAGGGUUCACUAGCUCCUCUAUUAUUACCUCCGCCUCGUGGAUAAUUGGCGGAGGAGCAAAUUCUUUGGGAGGAGUGGGCUCCUUCACUCCCUUCCCAUUCUUCACCAGCUUCUUCUUUUUCGCUGGAGCUUUAUUUGGCGGAGAGUCUGCGUCGCAUUUCUGUCUGGGAGCCUUCCGAAGGGUCCCUUCGUUUUUCUUCUUCUCCUGAUUGUCCAAGAGCGCUCGGCGUUUUUCAGCGUCAGCCUCUUUUAACGCCUGGUAAAUCGGGAGAUCUUUCACAAUGUAAUGCUCCCCAGGCACUACCUCCUUUGGCAUCUUCUUGGGGAGAAUGUUGAUGACAUACUCUUGGGGCUCUUGGACGACCGCCAUCAGGUUCCGUGCAGUCAGCAGCAUCUUGCACUGCCUCUCCUUGGCGUCUAUUUCAAAACACUUGCUGAGACAGGCAAAAGACGCAUUUCCACCCAAUCCACGAGGUAGCCCCUUUUUUCCGGACCUACAUUAACAGCAGCAAAGGUUGACAAUACCAUCCGGAGAUAUCAACAAGAAAACAACAAGGUAAAAAUCCGGACAAAAGUCGCAAAGCAAACUUACCCGGAAUCGCUAAGGAAUAGUUGGGAGAGAAGGGCCUCACCGGAUGCCUCGACCCCGCCCACGCACCCCGGACCAUCACGUGUCUCUUCGCCCCUCCAUUCGUCGAGUCUGGCAGUUCCGUCACCAAUUGAAGGGAGGGCAGGUGCGCGGACAGGCUGAAGAUGUCAGUUUUCGCCUUCUUCAGCGAAUACACGAAAAACACCUCCAGCAGCGUGAGGUCAAGGUUGUACAGCAUGUUUAUGAUGUUGCAUCCCAUCAGCACCCGGACGAUAUUGGGGUGAAUGAAGACUGGUGGAAUCUUGGUGAAAUGGAGGAAUUCCUUGAACAACGCCGGCAGAGGCAACCGGAGCCCCGCAUAGAAUUGUUCCUUCGAGAAGAUGACGGUAUCUUGUUCAGCUUUCUCAGUAGAUACGACAUCUUUCCAAUUCAAAAAUUCCACAAUCACGCCAUUUGCAAUGCAGAAUCGAUCCCGGAACUCCUUUACGCUCAGUUUGUCUGUAGGUUUCUCAUGAGCGUCGCUGGAGUGGGCAGAUGAAGUAGCUUUCUGCUUUGAAGACAUUUUCUAGCCCGAGGUUGAACUGAAACCUACAUGCAAGAAAUGCAAUAGUCAAACACAGCCAACCAACCCCACAAACCCUAAACGAUAACAAACACUCGGAAAACCUCGCACCAACAGUAUACCUAUUCCAAAAUCUUUGACUCUACCCCAACAAGAAACCCCCGACCUACAAAAACCACAGGGGGGCAACUGAAACCCUUAAAACACCCAGUCACAAACAACACUCGCCCAAACAAGCCAACAACGCCAAAGCGUACAAAAGGAAAGAACAAAGCAUAAAGAAUACGUACCGAAUGUCAGAGAGAAGCAAAGGUUGCAGAUCGCAAGGCAAGCACCGUCAAAGCGCAACAAAUCACCGUAAAAAAUUCUAGGGUUUUCACUCAAAAGAAGCAACAAUACGCACAAGGUUGACGAAGAAAGCUAUCUCAGAAAAACGCAGUAGAAAAAAGCAACAGUGAGCACAGUAUGCUAUUUAUAGGGGGACAUCCCCUCGGAAAGCCAAACGUCCAACAAACGUCAUCAUUGAAACGACAUACUGCCUGGGAAUACCCAGAGUCGGCGGCUCAUCAUAAAUGCCUUUUUGGCUCUCGCACCCCCACUCGCCACGUGGCCCAACCAGACAAAAAGUCGAUUUCGGUUUCAAAAAACCAAUUAUUUUUAACCCGCCCAUUUUUGCUCGGGCAAAAUAGGCAAGUUAAAAAGGGGGGCAUUGUAGGGACCCCUCCCUCCGAGACACGUGGCACGCAUUGUCAUCCGGGUCAUCUUCAUCCGGACCUUCUCAUAAAGCACACAUGGCACGCUUUUCCGAACUACCUCAAGGAAGAUCAAACUGCACUUAUAAGCAUAUCAUCCGGACGAUUUACACAAUGCAUCUGAAUACAAUGGUCCGGACCACUAACUAAAGUAUAGCGAGUCUUACACGCUAUCACGACAACCAGCCAUGGCCCACGUCUCAGCACCUGCAGAGUGAAAGGACGGGUUGAGGUGACAACAAGUCACUUCCCACGAUCAUUCUACAUGAUCACUUCCCACGAUCUCUAAGCAGCAGCAUCACCUACCACGGUUUCUGACAGCCGCCAGUAGGGUGGCGAUGACCAUGCUGCCUCCGAAUGUCAUCAUGACAAACAUAAAAUAUCUCCUCGCCAUUAAUGAGAGGAACAGUACUCCUAGCACUAUAUAUGAACCUUUGCACGAAGAAGAAGGUAAUCUCCAGAUACCGAGUAAAAUGCCAACUGAUUUAUAUCUCCCUCUCUAGCCAUGGCUAACAAAACCAUCGGAGGGUGCGUCCGGACACUCUGUCCGGAUGCCUUUUUGCAGGUAUAACGACUGAAUCAAGAACCUUUGUGUGUUGAGAUCGCGUCUCCAUCCAUUUGGCAACUACGUGGAAGCCCAGGAGUGCGAGGUAUUAACAGACAUAGGACACGAAAGCUACAGGAAAAUGACAUUAGAUGAGAUUUUUCUCAAUUUGGAAAGCGGAUUAUACAAUCUUUUCCAUAGUUUGAGGCUAAAGAUAUUUUGAGCUUUAACCCUCGCAAUUGUUUUGAUCAUGUUUAAGAAAAUUAAUUAGAUGUGUUGAUCUAAUUCAAAUCUUCAAUAUUGUACCAACUUAUAUUGUAAUUAAGUAUUUUUGCUUUCUUUCUUUAGAAUUUUCCCUAAACCAAACACAACCUUAGCUAUUUGUAAUUCUACAAACCUAAAAGAGUUGAGAAUCUAAGCAUGAGUUUUUUUUUUUUUCUCUUUAUGGAAAUAGAAAAUCUAGUGGAAUAAGUGGCGAUUUUGUACCAUACCAGGUGUACAAAAUCUUUCCAAAUAUACAAAUUUGAAAAUAAAUUUAUUUUUAUUAAUUUAAAAUUUUGAGAAUACGACCCUUAUUUUAUCUUCUAAUUUUUUUAAUAAUUAAUAUCUAACAAUUAAUUAAGCUUAGGCUUUGAUUUGGGCAUAUGACACAUGUCAUGAUCCUAUUUAAACACACAGAUGAUAUGUCAUAAUUAGUAACAGAAGGAAUUUAAAGAACUUUAAUAUGUUAAUAAAUGAACAAAAUUUUAAAUUUCUUAUCUUUUAAAAAAAAAUUGCUUUAUUUAGUUUCUUUUGAAUGGACUCUAUAUGACAAUUUUUUUAGUGGAAUAUUUAUCUUGGAUUUUAUAGAACAAAAUUUAAAAUGUUUAAUUGAUAAUAUAGGAUCAUAGUUGAAACAAUAAAAUUUAUUUAUCACUUAAAAGAAUUAAUUAAAUAAAUUUAAUAGAAUAAUAAAAAAUUUGUUAGGAAUAUUUGAAUUUGAAAAACCUUUAAAGAUCCAAAGUUUGUUAUGAAAUAUUCUUAAUAGUUUUUUUUAUCAAAAAAAUAUAUACUAACUAAAAGUUUGAAGUACUUUUUAUAUGAAGAACACAGCAUUACAAAAUAUCUUCAAUAUUCAGGUACAGCAUGAAUAUUUUUUUAUUUCGUAAACAAUACGUCAGACUAUAGAAAACAACAAAUGAAGCAUCCAGAGCAAAAUAAUAGACGAGUCAGAGUUCGCUGAGUUGGGACAUUGAAGAAAGGAGUGUCUAGGGUCUAGAGAAGAGCUUGGGUGAUCAUUUUGUCCAAGUUCGAGAAAGACGACCCAUUGGGACCUCUAGUGGCCUCUUCUGCUAGAGCCUUCCACUCCAAGGCCUUCUUCUUCAACUCUUUGCCUUUCUCUCCCUCCAUCAACUCCUUCACAAGCCUUUCAAUUUCAUCUCUCUUAACGUCGCUGUCUAUCUCCAUGCCUAUGCCCCACUCAGUGCAACAGUAGCGGCAGUUGGUUUGCUGCUCUGCAAAAAAGGGCCAACAAAUCAUAGGCACUCCAGCGCUCACACUUUCAAUUGUGGAAUUCCACCCGUUGUGAGUUAAGAAGCCGCCAACAGCCGGGUGACUGAGAACUUGCUCUUGAGGACACCAACCUGCUAACAGACCCCUCUCUUUCGUCUCUGCCACGAAUUCUGGCGGAAGAAUGGCCGCGUCACCGGACACAAGAUCUGGCCUGAUUAUCCAUAAGAACGUCUGAUUGCUAUUCACCAGUCCCCAAGCAAACUCAUUGAGUUGCUGCGAUGUCAUGACCGUGACGCUCCCGAAAUUCACGUAAACAACAGAGUUGGGCUCUUUGGAGUCCAGCCACUCCAGACAUUCCGGCUCUUCUUUCCACAGAUUCGAUUCCAUCAACUUCAAAUCGUUAUCUUGGAUCUGACUCAUGAGUUUGUGCAGGGGACCGAUGGUGUAGAUUGGGGGAAACAUCUGAGAAAGUGCAUCCAAAACUUCAUGCUCUAGAGCAUCAAAUGUAUUGAAAAUGAGGGCAGAUGCCUUGCGAGCUCUUUCAGCCUCCCGCAAUGGAAAUUCCAGCAUAAUGUCAUUUGGGUCCGUCGUUCGAAUGAAGCUUGGGAUAUCCCUCAAACGGAUACCUUUCAUACCCGGUAUCCAAUCAAUAACGGUAUCCAGAUACCCAUUUGUUAGGUAACUCUCAUCUGCAUUUCAUAGAAAGGAGGGGAAAAAAUAUGAGAAUCCGUAUUGAGCUUAGCUUUGAAGUAAUUAAAUGCAAAGUUGGUCAGUAUUUGAUUCAUUUGAAUGAUACCUUUGAGUGGAGCCAAACCCUUAUCGAUAAGAUUGCGAUAUUGCACGUAGCCCAUGAAGCCGCAAGCACUAGUUGUCCAGAAAAGAACUUCAGGAACGCCAAGCUCUUGAGCAGCAUCAAGAGUGAAGCUCAUGGCGCCAUCAGAAACUAUGCAAGUGACUGGAGGGCCAUCGUGGUUGAGGUUGGAAAGAAGGUCUCUAAAGGGAGGCAGGCAGUGUUUUGUGGUGGAGACACAGAGAGCGGGAGUGUCUUGGGUGGCAUCAACAUUGGAGGGAGGGAGACCAUCGGGAAUGGUCUUGAAUUGGAAGGAGGGGAUGCCUUUGAGGGAGUCUGGACCCCGAGAUUUGAGCAGGCGGUUAUGGUUGUACUCUGUGUUGACAAAGGUAAUGUGGAACCCUCUGAAAUGAAGGAACUUUGCUAGUUUUAGCAUAGGGUUUAUGUGGCCCUGUGCUGGGUACGGUAUGCAAACUGCAUGUGGCUUCUCAGCUGAGGCUAAGGAACCCAUUCUCUCUUUCUCUCUCUCUCACUUUCACUCUGCUCUCAAUUGGUAUAUGCCCAUGACAUUGGAAGUAGCUUGGGUUUUAUAGCCCCAGGAGAGAGGGUCAAACACUUUACUUAUAUAUAUAUAUAUUAAAGUCAGAAGUCAAAUAAAUGCUGCAAUAUUAAUAUAUGUACAGCUGUAUCAGAGAGUAACUGAAGGUCAACUUGGCUCUCUCCUUUAUCUAGGUUAACCCACCUGUCCUCCAUACUUCACGGCAGGUGCCUAAUGCUUUAAACACUUUACUUAUAUACAAUAUUAAUAUAUGUACAGCUGUAUCAGAGAGUAACUGAAGGUCAAACUUGGCUCUCUCCUUUAUCUAGGUUAACCCACCUGUCCUCCAUACUUCACGGCAGGUGCCUAAUGCUUUUCAUAGGAGAUGUACAACAAAUUCAAUAUUUACACAAUUAUCAACUUUUUACUUUUAAGCAAUCCAAGAUUCCCAACGAUAUAUGAAUACCUAUUUUUGUAAUGCAGUAGGAUCUUGACAAUCAAUUACUCUAAAAACUCGUUUCAAGUUGUCGGAUGUCCACACCUAUAUAUUAUUAUUUAUAGGUGUGCGAGUGGAUGAGAAAUCUAUUAUACAUGAUGUUAAUGGUUAAGUCGGACCCAUUCAAACAAAAGAUGAAAUCGGUAUAUAUAAUGGAAACAAAGAGGUGCUAAUCGGGACUUUUCUCAAUAGUAUAGUAAUUUUAAAAAGUUAUGCUUAAAUUAUUAUAGUAGAAGAAGUUAUUAUAAAUAUAUGGUAGUUUUUGCCACAUAGGAGAGAGGAGAGAGGGUGAGAGAGAGGAGAUAGGAGAGAGGAGAGAGGGUGAACGGAUAAAUUUUUUAAUUCCAUGAAAAAAAAAAUUAUAUUUUUUUAAAAAAAUAUAUAUUCUUUUUAAAAAAUUCCUAUUUAUUCAAGGGAACUCGUCUCUUCAAGAGACGAGUUCCAUGAAAAAAGACAAGGGAAAGACGAGUUACCAGGGAAAAAAAUAUAUAUAUUUUUUUUAAAUAUAUUUUUUAUUUAAAAAAAAUCCUAAAUUAAAUUUAAAAAAAUUUCCUAAAUGGAACUCGUCUCUUUGGGAAAUUUUUUUUUUUUUUAAAUAUAUAUAUUUUUAAAAAAAAAAUAUUUUUUUUUACAUGGGAACUCGUCUCUUGAAGAGACGAGUUCCCUUUAGGAAUUUUGAGGAUUUGUUUUUUUUUUUUAAUAUAUAUAUUUAAAAAAUAUUUUUUGUUUUUUUACAUNNNNNNNNNNNNNNNNNNNNNNNNNNNNNNNNNNNNNNNNNNNNNNNNNNNNNNNNNNNNNNNNNNNNNNNNNNNNNNNNNNNNNNNNNNNNNNNNNNNNAAAAAAAAAUAUAUUUUUUUAAAAAAAUAUAUAUUUUUUUUAAAAAAAUUCUAUUUAUUUAAAGGGAAUUGUCUUUUCCAAAGACGAAUUUCCUGAAAAAAAACCAGGGGAAGGGGGGUUUCCCGGGGAAAAAAAAUAUAUUUUUUUUUUUAAAAUAUUUUUUUUUUAAAAAAAAUCCUAAAUUAAAAUUUAAAAAAUUUUCUAAAAGGAAAUUGUUUUUUUGGGAAAAUUUUUUUUUUUUUAAAAAUAUAUAUUUUUAAAAAAAAAAUUUUUUUUUUUUCAAGGGAAAUUGUUUUUUGAAGAGGCGAGUUUCCCUUUGGAAUUUUGGGGAUUUUUUUUUUUUUUUUUAAAUAUAUAUUUUAAAAAAUUUUUUUUUUUUUUUUCCAGGGAAGGGACGAGUUUCCUUUGAAAAUGUUUUUUUUUUUUUUUUUUUUUUUUUUUUUUUUUUUUAAUUUGGGAUUUUUUUAAAUAAAAAAUAUAUUUUUACAAAAAAAUAUUUUUUUUCCCUAAAGGAACUCGUCUCUUUUUAAUUUAGGAUUUUUUUUAAAUAAAAAAUAUAUUUAAAAAAUAUAUAUAUAUUUUCCCAUGGGAACUCGUCUCUUCAAGAGACGACUUCCCUUUACGAAAUUUUUUUUUUUUAAAAAAAAUAUUUUUUUUACAUGGGAACUCGUCUCUUGAGGAGACGAGUUCCCUUUAGGAAUUUUGAGGAAUUAUUAUUAUUAUUUUUUUUUAAUAUAUAUAUAUAUAUAUUUUUACAUGGGAACUCGUCUCUUGAAGAGACGAGUUCCUUUAGGAUUUAUUUAUUUAUUUUUUUUUAAUUUGGGAUUUUUUUAAAAUAAAAAAUAUAUUUAAAAAAAAAUAUUUUUUUCAAGAGACGAGUUCCCUUUAGGAAUUUUUUUUUUUAAAUAUAUAUAUUUUUUUAAAAAAAAAAUUUUACAUGGGAACUCGUCUCUUGAAGAGACGAGUUCCCUUGAGGAAUUGUUGUUGUUUUUUUUUUUUUUUUGGGAUUUUUUUAAAUAAAAAAAAUAUUUUUUUUCCCAAAGGGAACUCGUCUCUUGAGUUCCUUUAGGAAUUUUUUUUUUUUUUAAUUUGGGAUUUUUUUUAAAUAAAAACUAUAUUUAAAAAAAAAAUAUUUUUUUUCCCAUGGGAACUCGUCUCUUCAGACGAGUUCCUUUAGGAAAUUUUUUUUUUUUUUAGAUAUAUAUAUUUAAAAAAAAAAUAUUUUUUUUUACAUGGGAACUCGUCUCUUCAAGAGACGAGUUCCCUUUAGGAAUUUUGAGGAAUUGUUUUUUUUUUUUUUUUUUUUUUUUAAUAUAUAUAUUUAAAAAAAAAAAAAUUUACAUGGGAACUCGUCUCUUGAAGAGACGAGUUCCCUUUGGAAUUGUUUUUUUUUUUUUUUAUUCAGGAUUUUUUUAAAUAAAAAAUAUAUUUAAAAAAAAAAUAUUUUUUUUCCUAAAGGGAAUUUUUUUUUCUUUUUUUUAAUUUGGGAUUUUUUUUCCCAGGGAACCCGCCCCUUCAGACAAGUUCCUUUAGGGAAUUUUUUUUUUUUUUAAAAAAAUAAAAAUUUUUUUUAAAUAUAAAAAAUUUUUUUAAAAAAAAUUUUUUUUUUACGGGGAAACCCGUCUUUUGAAGAGACGAGUUCCUUUUAGGAAUUUUUUUUUUUUUUUUAAUUGGGGAUGGUUUUUAAAAAAAAAAUUUAUUUUUUUUUUUUAAAANNNNNNNNNNNNNNNNNNNNNNNNNNNNNNNNNNNNNNNNNNNNNNNNNNNNNNNNNNNNNNNNNNNNNNNNNNNNNNNNNNNNNNNNNNNNNNNNNNNNGGUCCCUUUGGAAAUUUUUUUUUUUUUAAUUUGGGGUUUUUUUUAAAAAAAAACUUUUUUUUAAAAAAAAAUUUUUUUUUUUCCAAGGGAAAUUUUUUUUUUACGAAGGGUUCCCUUUGGAAAAUUUUUUUUUUUUUUGAAAUAAUAUUUUUUAAAAAAAAAAAAUUUUUUUUUCCAGGGAAAUUGUUUUUUCCAAAGACGAGUUUCCCUUUGGAAAUUUUGGGAAAUUUUUUUUUUUUUUUUUUUUUUUUUUAAUAUAUAUAUUUAAAAAAAAAAAAAUUUACAUGGGAACUCGUCUCUUGAAGAGACGAGUUCCCUUUGGAAUUGUUUUUUUUUUUUUUUAUUCAGGAUUUUUUUAAAUAAAAAAUAUAUUUAAAAAAAAAAUAUUUUUUUUCCUAAAGGGAAUUUUUUUUUCUUUUUUUUAAUUUGGGAUUUUUUUUCCCAUGGAACUCGUCUCUUCAGACGAGUUCCUUUAGGGAAUUUUUUUUUUUUUUAAAUAUAUAUAUAUUUUUUUUAAAUAUAUAUAUAUUUUUUAAAAAAAAUAUUUUUUUUACAUGGAAACUCGUCUUUUGAAGAGACGAGUUCCCUUUAGGAAUUUUUUUUUUUUUUUUAAAUUGGGAUUGUUUUUAAAUAAAAAAUAUAUUUUUUUUUUUUAAAAAAAAAAUUUUCCCAUGGGAACUCAUCUCUUGAAGAGACGAGUUCCCUUUAGGAAAUUAUUUAUUUAUUUAUUUAAUUUGGGAUUUUUUUUAAAUAAAAUAUAUAUUUAAAAAAAAAAUAUUUUUUUUCCCAUGGGAACUCGUCUAUUCAAGAGACGAGUUUCCUUUAGUUCCAAAUUGUUUUUUUUUUUUAAUUUGUGAAUUUUUUUUUUAAAAUAUAUAUUUUUUGUAAUGGGAACUCGUCUCUUGAAGAGACAAGUUUCCUUGAAGAAUUGUCUUUUUUUUUUUUUUUUUUAAUUUGAGAAUUUUUUUAAAAAUAUAUAUAUAUUUUUUUUCAUGGAACUCGUCUCUUGAAGAGACGAGUUCCCUAAUGGGGAAUUUUCUUUAAAAAAUAUAUAUUUUUUGUUUCAUGGAACUCGUCUCUUGAAGAGACGAGUUCCCUUUUUAAAAAAAAUUUAUCCGUUCACCCUCUCUCCUCUCUCCUAUCUCCUCUCUCCUUUCUCUCACCCUCUCUCCUCUCUCCUCUCUCCUAUCUCCUUUCUCCUCUCUCCUAUGUGGCAAAAACUACCAUAUAUUUGUAAUAACUUCUUCUACUACAAUAAUUUAAGCAUAACUUUUUUAAAUUACUGUACUAUUGAGAAAAGUCCGUGCUAAUCGCUAUGAAUUGAAGACAAAAUGCAUCCACCCCAUUCAGAAAUGUUGACCAUAAGAUGAAAUAAAAUAUUUAGAGAAGAUAGAUUAAGGGCGGUGACAAGAUUGAGGGGCUUAAAAGACAUGUCACUGAGUGAUGCUAAGGGCGACCGAAAAAAAGAAAUCUUAUCCCUGUGAGAGAUUCCUUGGGCGGUCUGAAUGUUUUUGCUGGCUUCCUUUGCCAUUCUUUCACGUACCUUAUGUUCGCAUUCCUGGAAAGACAACUCCCAUCUUCAUUCUUUCUUUUCAUGCAAUCAUUAUGAAGACCACAAACUUCAGUAUUGUACGGCUCUAUUUGGGUCUAUAUUUUCUGGUCAUUUUCUUGAUCCUUCCGUGAACCAUUGGAACGCCAUGGAGCUUAACUUCUUGUUUUUUUAAUAUAAUAUAAUAAGGAAAAGUGUGACAACCUCUAAAACAUGAACAUCAAAUGCAGGUAAGUUAAGACAUAGGACACGAAAGCCACAGGAAAAUGACAUUAGAUGAAAUAUUUCUCAAUUUGGAAAGCGGAUUAUACAAUCUUUUCCAUAGUUUGAGGCUAAAGAUAUUUUGAGCUUUAACCCUCGCAAUUGUUUUGAUCACAUUUAAGAAAAUUAAUUCGAUAUGCUGAUCUAAUUCAAAUCUUCAAUAUUGUACCAACUUAUACUGUAAUUAAGUAUUUUUUUCUUUCUUUCUUUAGAAUUUUCCCUAAACCAAACACAACCUUAGCUAUUUGUAAUUCUACAAACCUAAAAGAGUUGAGAAUCUAAGCAUGAGGUUUUUUUUUUUUUUUUCUCUUUAAGAAAUAGAAAAUCUAGUGGAAUAAGUGGCGAUUUUGUACCCUCAUAUGAAAUGGACCUUGUUAGAGUUUGGGAUGAAAACACGUCAAUCCCAUUCCAGGCCCACCUCAUCGCAUUGGCUAAAGAGGUUACAGGGAACCAAGUGGGGGUGACCUUAGAUGGGCCAAGUUCAGCCCAAGGUUGAUUUGCCCUAAAAUCACAAGACCAGGGCCCGAUCAACGCAGUUGUAGAUUUCACAACAGCGAUUAUCUUUAAGUAUUUGAUAUUAUAUAAUGGAAAAUUUUCUAAUUUACAAAAUGAUCAUGCGUGAUUUUACUAAAAAAUAGAUUGGAAUUUGGGCAUGAUCUUGGUUCAAUGUAUCAAGGAGAUUUUCCCCUUUUUCAAUGAUCAUGUAGAUUGCUGUUUUCAGUCAACAAAUACGGAUUACUAAAAAACUUUAAAACUAAAAAAUAUAAAAAUAAAAUAUUAGAUUUCACUUUGCUAAAUCACACUAAUUAAAAAUAUAAAUUCAAGAAAUAAUUGAAAAUACGAUGAGAGUAAAUAUUUAAUUUUGUUAUUUUUAAGUUUUUUGUUUUAAUUGUAUUUAAUUUUUCAACUAUUUUAGUUUUAAUUGUUAUAUUUAUUUUUAAAAUUUCUUAUUUUAUUGUUUAUGUCAACUAACAAAUUUUUUAUUUAAUUUAUUUUUUAAAAAAUAAGAAGAUGAAUGGAUUUAUUUAUUACAAGAUAUAAAAUCAAGAUAUUUUUUUAAAAUUAGGAUUUAUAUAAUACAAGAUAAUUUUUAGAAUUUCAAACAGAUUUGAAAAUCUAUUCAUAUUAAAGUUAUUUGCCCAUAAAUACAUCUCCAUAACUUCAAAAGAGUUGGAGAUCUAAAUUUAUUUAGAGUGAGUUCAUUUAAAAGAAAGCUUAAAUAGCCACAAGCAUUCAGGGGUUAUUGCGCCGCUUGCAAACAUGGAUCAUGUUGUCAAAGGUUGUUGCAUUGUAUUAUAGACAUGGUAUAGGAAGAGUAUAAAUAAUUUUUUUUAUAUUAUAUUUUUGGGAAGAAUCCUGUAAAUUUAUUUUAUUUUAUUUUAUUAGUUUUAUAUUUUUGGGAAGAAUCCUAUUGAGAUUGUGCUAAUGGAGUCUCAUUCCUUAUAUAAGUAAAAUCCCCUUCCACUUUGAGUCUGUUCUGAUUACAAGUAGAGUCUCAUUGGGAGUGUACAGGUCACCCCUCACUCUCUAAAUAUGAAUACCAAUUUUUCAAGAUAAUUUUUUAGAGAGUCUUUUCAUACAUCUAUUUGGAGGAAUUUUUUUUCAAAACUCGAGCCGUACAUCUCGUUUAUGCAAGAUCUAACUGUUGAAUUACACCGAGUUCGUCUUUGAGGAUGGUGAAUCUAUUUCAAGAAUAGUAUUUGUCACGCCUCAACCUAAGUUUUUCUUUUUAUUAAUUUUGUUCUUAUUUGUGUCUUUUGCACUAAUCAUUUGUUUCCAUACCUUUAAAUCUAACACAUGGAUCAAGUUGUAAAUUAAUAAACAUGCAUCACGUUGUAAGAGGUUGUUGCAUUGCAUUACAUAUAUUCAUCAAAUUAUAGGUAUUAAAAGUGUCAUGUAGAUGUGUAUAAAUUUAACUUUGAUAUAUAUACAAAAUUUAUUUCCAAAAUACUUUCCAAAAAGUUUUUUUAAACACGUCUGAUUUGAAUAUUAAUAUUCAAAGAAUAGACUUUGAAGGAGGUUUGAGUUUCAUGAAGGAAAAGAAAAACACUUUCCAAAAAUUCUUUUAUAAGCACGUGUCAUUUGAAUAUUAAUAUUCAAAGAAUAGACUUUGAAGGAGCUUUGGGUUUCAUGAAGGAAAAAAAUGAUGUUGGAGAGAAGACCGCUUCUAAUACCACCAGGUGUGCAAAAUCUUUCCAAAUAUACAAAUUUGAAAAUAAAUUUAUUUUUAUUAAUUUAAAAUUUUGAGAAUACGAUCCUUAUUUUAUCUUCUAAUUUAUUUAAUAAUUAAUAUCUAACAAUUAAUUAAGCUUAGGCUUUGAUUUGGGCAUAUGACACAUGUCAUGAUCCUAUUUAAACACACAGAUGAUAUGUCAUAAUUAGUAACAGAAGGAAUUUAAAGAAUUUCAAUAUGUUAAUAAAUGAACAAAAUUUUAAAUUUCUUAUCUUUUAAAAAAAAAUUGCUUUAUUUAGUUUCUUUUGAAUGGACUCUAUAUGACAAUUAUUUUUAGUGGAAUAUUUAUCUUGGAUUUUAUAGAACAAAAUUUAAAAUGUUUAAUUGAUAAUAUAGGAUCAUAGUUGAAACAAUAAAAUUUAUUUAUCACUUAAAAGAAUUAAUUAAAUAGAUUUAAUAGAAUAAUAAAAAAAUUUGUUAGGAAUAUUUGAAUUUGAAAAACCUUUAAAGAUCCAAAAUUUUGUAUAACAAGAAUUUAAAAGAUUUAAUUGGCAAUUAAGAAUCCUAAUGGCAAAAGGAUUUGAGCAAACAAAAUUUAUUGGCAAUUUUUUUUAUAAAAAAAAGCUGAUAUAUUUAAUUUAAUAUUUAUAAAUUCAAGUAUUAAUAAUAUUUGAAUUAAAAAACAUAAAAACAAAAAAAAAACAAAACAAAACAAAACAAAACUAAACUGGAAGACUUAUAUUUUGAAGGGUUUAUGUUGAUUGGCUUUCAAACACCACAAAAGUUUUAAUUUGAAUCUUGCAGAUUUUUGUGUAGAGCAAAUUAAAAUUUUGAUUGGUCGUUUAAAUUUCAAGUGUCACAAAAAAGUUUUGCUUUAAUUUAUGUAAGUGGCGCCGAAUUUAUUUUAUUUUAUUAUUUUUUGCUAUUCAAAAAUGAGUGAUGUUAGAAAUAUGUUUAUAAAUAAAGUAAAGAAUUAAAUAGGAGACUUCAAUCAAUGAAACUACAUCUUUUAAAGUUAUUUCAUAAAUCUAUUUCUUUAUUUUCUUCUUUUUUUCAUUAUUUUCUUUUCUAUUAUCAACCGUAUAAAAAGUAUAUGAUAAACCUACACUUUUAUCUUUUAUUUUAUUUAUAUGUAAUAAAAUUAUACUUUAAUUUUAUGGUAACUUUGAUUUUAUAUUUUAUUUAUAUAUGAUAAAAUUAUACUUUGAUUUUAUAUUUUAUUUAUUUUAUUGAAGCGCAUAAACAUACGUGGAUAUCAAUUAGAAAAUAUGUUUUUCUUUCUAGUAAAAAAUUAUUUAAAAAAUAUCAUAAUUAGAUAUUAUGAAAAAUAAGUGCAAUCCUCAUAACUGAAAGUUAUGAGAUAAAUAACAAAAUUACAAGUAUACAGUAUGCAUAUGACUUUUAAUUACUUUUUAAUUAUAUUGUAUAAUUGGAAGUCAACAAUAUUGUGUAGGUAGAAGCUAUAGAAUGAAAUAGUUCAUAACCUAAAACUAUGUAUAAAUUUACACAAUGAAUUCAUAACAUGAAGUUAUGUACAAAUUUGCUCAAUAAAUAGUUCAUAACCUGAAAUUAUAUAUAAAUUUAUAUAUUUUUUUUAUUCUGACAAAAUAAUUUGAAGUUAUAAAAAAUAUUAAUUUUUAAUUUCUAUUUUGUAUUCAUACACUUUUAUCAUAUUUGUAAUUAACAACAAAACAUAGCAAAAUCUUAUAUCAUUAUAUUUUUAGACAUUAUUUAUUUGAUAAAAUAUUGUUAAAUAAUUUUAUUAAUUUGUUUAUAUUUUAUUUCAAUAAAUUGAAAUAUUUUCUCAUUAAAUUAUUGCAUAUAUAGUUUUCAAAAAAUGUCAAGCUUGACAAAGCUUAGGUUUGUUGUCCUUGAUAUUUUAAGGCAAAAACUACUUAUCAUAAGUUCUAGAUACUAAAAUUCACCUAAAUGUAAUGAAUCUUGGAAAUAUUACUAAAAAGGAAAAUGACACAUCCUUGCAUAAUUGUACCAAAGCUUUAAUAUUCCUUGUCAUCACAUUAACGAAGGAUUAAAAGAUGAAUACCUUAUGGUAAAAAUUCCUUUCAUCAUUUGGAAUAAUCUAAGUGAACGAUAUGACCACCAAAAAAUUACAAUCCUUCCAAAAGCAUGUUAUGAUGGGAUGUACUUGAGAUUAUAAGAUUUCAUGUUUUUUAGUGGCUACAACUUAGUUUUAUUCAAAAUUAGCUCACAAUUAAAAUUAUGUGGAGAGAAAGUCAUUGAAGAAGAUAUGCUUAAAAAGACAUUUACGACUUUUCAUGUUGUGAAUGUACUCCUAUAGUAGCAAUAAUGAGAGCGUCGUUUCAUUAAAUAUUCAAAAUUGAUUUAAUGUUUUCUUAUGGUUGAACAAAAUAAUGAGCUUUUACUGAAAAACCAUCAAUCUCGUCCUAUUGGAUCUGUGUCAUUACCUAAAGCUAAUGUCCCAUAUGUCCAAACUUCUGAACAUGGACAAGAACGUGGAUAUGGAUAAGGUUGAGGUAGAGGAUGUGGUCGCGAUUGAGGUCCUAGUAAAUACAAUCCAUCACAUUGAGUUAUAGGUUUUUUUUUUUUUUUAGAAUCAAUCAUUUUAAUUGAUGUAUUAGUGGACCUUUAGGUUAUAGUUUGGACAAAUGUGUCAUUGGCUUCAAGCAAUGACACGGUCCCAACAUGAUGAAAUUAAUGGUUUUUCGGUAAAAGUUCCCUAUUUUGUUCAAUCAUAAGAAGACAUGAAAUUAAUUCUAAAUAUUUGGUGAAACAACGCUCUUAAUAUUGUUGCUGCAUGAGCACAUUUGAGGCAUGAAAAGUCGUAAAUGUCUUUUCAAGUAUAUCUUUUUUAGUGAGUUUUUCUUCACAUAAUUUUAAUUGUGAGCUAAUUUUGAAUAAAGUCAAGUUGUAAUCAUUAACAAACUUGAAAUCUUAUAAUUUCAAGUGCAUUCGAUCAUAGCAUACUUUUUAAAGGAUUACAGUCUUUUGGUGAUCAUAUUGUUCCUCCAAAUUAUUCCAAAUGAUGAAAGGAUCCUUGAUCACAAGGUAUUCACCUUUUAAUCCUUUAUCAAUGGGAUGACAAAGAAAUAUUAAAGUUUUUACGCAAUCCUACAAGGAUGCGUCAUUUCCUUUUUUUUAAUAGUGUUUCUAAGAUUCAUUACAUCUAGAUGAAUUUUAGCAUUCAUAACCUUUUAAUCCUUUAUCAAUGGGAUGGUGAAGGAAUAUUAAAGUUUUGACAUGAUCGUGUAAGAAUGCGUCAUUUCCUUUUUUAAUAGUAUUUCCAAGAUUCAUUACAUCUUGAUGAAUUUUAGUAUUCAUAACCCAAGAUAAAUAGUUUUUGCCAGAAAUAUUGAGGGUAACAAAUUCAAGCUUUGCCAAUUUUGACAUUUUCUAAAAACUAUAUAUGCAAUAAUUUAAUUAGAAAAUAUUUCAAUUUAUCAAAAUAAAAUGUAAAAAAAUUAAUAAAAUUAUUUAACAAUAUUUCAUUAAGUAAAUAGUGUCUAAAAAUAUAAUGAUCUAAAAUCCUGCUAUAUUUUGUUGUCAAUUAUAAAUAUGGUCAAAAUACGUGAAUACGAAAUAGAAUUUAAAAACUAAUUUUUUUUUAUAACUGCAAGCUAUGUUUAUUUUGUUAGAAUAAAAAAAUGUACAAUUUAUAAAUAGCUUCAAAUUAUGAACUAUUCAUUAUGCAAAUUUGCACAUACCUUAAGGUUAUAAUCUAUUCAUUCUAUAGCUUUUAACCAUAUAAUGUUGUUUUAUAUAACUUUCAAUUAUAAAGUAUAAUUAAAAAGAAAUUAGGAAUCAUAUGUAUAACUUCUUACUAUAUAUUUGUAAUGAUGUAAUUUACCCCAUAACUUCUACUUAUGAGGAUUAUAUAUAUUUUUUAUAUAUAACUUCAAGUUAUGAUCUUUUUUCAUAAUUUUUUACUAAAAAAAAAACAUAUUUUCAAAAUAAUAUCUGCAUAUGUUUAUGUAUUUAUAUACGAUAAGCAAAAUAGAAAAUCAAAGUAUAAUUUUAUCACAUAUAAAUAAAAUAGAAAAUAAAAGUAUAGGUUCAUCACAUACCUUUCAUGUGAGAAAAAAGUUUUUCUGGCAGCAAAUUCAUCACUCUUUGUUAUCAAAAAGUUUUUCUAAGGGGAAUAUAAGUUGCUCGAGUUGAUCUUCAAUAAGUAGUUUAGUAUGCAUAAAGUACUUUUUCACGUCAAUCUCUCCUUAACUAAUCAACCAUUGUUUAAGAUAGAUUGUAGAGAGUUUUAUUGAAGUCUCAAUAAGACCAUUAACCAGUGCAUUACAUAUGGAAGAGUUGUAUUAUUGUUUGAAUUCAAAGUUUUCAUAUAAUUUGUGCAUCAAAUUGUUAUAGACAUUAUUUUCAUUAUUGGUAAGAAUUUAGUGAGGAACACUACAUAGAUGCUAGUCCAAAGGAAGUUAAUAGUUGUUUCAUUAUUAACUUCCUUUAGAGUCAGUUUUGCCCAUUUGAAAAAACAAUCUAUAGCCACCAAUACACAAAUGCCUGAUCAUAUGAAGAUUUUAGUCUAAUUGAUCAUAUGAAAUUAAUUAAGUCCUCAUGCAUCAAAGGACCCAAUGCCACCCUUGGAUGUAAUGGCUCUAAGGUAGUAUCUCAUUCUCUUUAUUUAUUUAAAAACGGAUUAUACCAUGUCUAGGCCAAGUAUAAGAGCUAUUAUUGGAGUAGUUUCUUGUAAGGUAAAACAAUACGGGACGAUGUUUCAUUUAGGAGUAACAAAUCCAACCUUGAUACUACUCACUCACAACAUAAUUAUUUUAUUUAUUUAAUUAUUAAAAUUUAUUUAUUUAUUUUGAAUCUCAUAUAGAUGAUAUGCGAAAAUUAGUGAUCGAAUAACUACAAUCAAAUAAUUUGUCAUACUUGUGCAAUAAAUUACUUUGUAAUAUUUUAUUAAUAAUUUAAUAAAGCUUUUUAACAUUUUUUUUAAUAUAAGAUCAGCAUAAAUGCCAACUGUUGUGACUUUCUGAAACGGGCCGAUUAUUCGGCCUGUCAUAGAGUUACUUUCUCUUUUCAGGUCUUUUGGGUUUGAUGAUUUGGAGUGGGUAUGAUAUGUAGAACACUUGAGAAAAAAAAAAAAAUUACGAUUAAGAAGAAAUUAGAAUAUCCACACAUGUACAAUCCACUAAAAGUCAACCUUGUCAAACAACAGUUGAGCACUGCGAAGUAGAAGGGUCAAGCACUGCAGGUAGGAGGUAUUUCCUGCUGUUUACACCCAGCGCAUUAUAGCUCGCACCGGUGCUGGAAUCCACCAACAGCUCUCCGGCGUAUCCCGGAUAAGCUCCUUUCCCAUAAAUUCCUGGGCAAGCUGAAGCCACCUCCAGAGGCGCCUCAGCUGAGCCCUGGAAAUAGCCGUUUCCAAAAGGGUUGGUUACAGUUCCGGCCAGAAGAGUCGCUAUAUUUUCGACCAUGCCAUCCAACCCCACGUCCCCGUUGGGUGCAAUCAGUGGUGUUGUCUGUGGUCCGUAGAUGGGUUGGUGGAAGGGCCACGCGCAUUGGCCAGGGCACUGAGUCUCCGAGUUCCCAACCCAGAUGAAGGCUGACCUCUUUCUAGCGUCCGACCCAUGAAACCCGCAGUUGCUCAUACAGAAGCCUUCAACUGCAACGUCUUUUGCUGUGAGAACCAGAGUUAACCCACUGGAUUUGGAGCUUACAGCACGAGCCAACUCGGAAAUCUGGGAUUUCUUGAGGGUUUUGCCCAUGGAACAGGACUCAUCUGAGAUUUGAUUGGACAGUUCAAUUUGGAUCUCCCUUUUGCCAGCCUUUUUCAAGUAGGUUUGGAUAGUUUUCCACCACUGCGAGGUUGAAGGUUUUUUAGAGGAGAGAUUCUCUGGUUGAUCAUGUGGGUCGAGGGAGAGAAGAAAGUCUGCAACAAUAGAUUUCUGAGCCGGUGAGAAUUGUCCGUACCAAAGAAUUGAUACUGGGAGAUGUCCUUCAAGCAAAGCGCCAUUAUGGUAUGUGAGAGCCAUGGGUGGUGGCUGGUACAAUGAAGUUAGCUUUCUUGCGCAGAAACACGGGCUAAUGAAGAACAAGUGAAAAAUAACAACGACAACAACAAGAGAGUGUGUUUUGAGGGAGAGAGAGAAAGCCAUUUCAGAGAUAAACUAAAGAGUGUUGAUGUUCGAAUAAAGGACAGAUAGUUUAAAAUUUUAGAGAGAAAGGUUUUGGCUUGAGUGGUGUGAGAGAGAGUCAGGGAGUGGUGAGAGUAUAUGUAGGCGGGAAGGUGCAUGCACCGUGCCGAUAAACUGCCCUUGUACCUUUCAUCACCAGCUUAGCAGAUAAAAAAAUUAGAGAGAUCACGAGAAUUUGGAAAGAUGAGGUGAACGGGGAACAUCUGGCAAGAAUCUCUCUCUGUGCGUAAAGUAUUUUUUGUAUAGAGAUUAGGAGACUCUGCUGACGCUUACAUCGAUUUCAUAGAUGGUAAUGUGGCAUGCAAGGAGGGAAGUACAACCGCGACUCUUAAUGGACAAAUGGGUGGAGCUAUGGGCUGCAUGUGUUUGGAGCUGUUUCCUAGGCAGUUUCACAUUUCUUCUUCAUUAAUUAUAAUCUUUUUUAAAAGAGGAUAACUCAGAUUAAUUCAAUUGAUUUAAGGGCACCCCAACAAUUAAGAGCAUGUCUUAGCCAAGAGAGAAAUGUCCCAUUUGUUCAGACUAAAGUUGUCCACAUCAACUUGGCUUUGUCUUCUAACAUCUGCCUGAGGGCUCAGGACCUCGUUGUUGUUGCAUAAUAAUAAGUGUUUUGCAGUACUGCUGUUGGGGAUUAUGAUUUUGGUGUUUUCAAAACUCAUGUGUCCAAAUGGAGGUAGCCCAGGUUCAUAUGUACUGUAGUAAUGAUCAGAAGUCUAUCCUCAUCUAACAUGCAAUGCACUUGCCCAUACAUCAUGGGCAUUCCGAAAGUUUAGGUUCAUAUUGCAGAAAAAAUGAUGGCAGGCACUAAGCUUGCCAUGCUCUUGUGGGUCCUAAUGUUAUGUCACAUGCCUCUCUUCAUUGGGAGUGGGUGGGGUAGCUAUAAGUUGGGUAUUCUGCAAUCAACCUGGGAUAUAUAAACCUAUAGCCCAUUUCCUAUAUGCAUGUAGUAUAGUUGAUUACACAGCCUAUCCUUUUGGAAUAGGCUUUAAACUCACCUAACCAACACGGAUUAAAUUUCAUCAGCAGUACAGUCCCCUUGGCCGGUCCGUCAAAGGGUUCCCCAUCAGAGCAGUUGAAUUAAAGCAUCUCAUUAAACAUUGUUAUGGUCAUCAUUUGAUUUGACCUUUGACCUAAAAGGUUCCUUCCCAAACUUUAGUUGGAGAAUAAUGAUGGAAAUCAGAUUAAGAUUAGGAUCAAUCGAAUUGGGAGUCAUAGGAAAAAUCUCAUGAAAACAAACUGACUUGUUUUAAUUAUCCACAUUUGCAUAUCACUAAUCUGUUCGAUCUACUCAAAAGAAAAUUCAUUUAAUUCUAAAUGCAUCCCAGCGAAUUGAGACAAUGACCACACAAUGAUCACAUGUAUUUUUACUUUUAUAGCAGUCACAAACACGCUCACAUGACCCUUUUUCUAGUGUGAAAGCCUGGUACUUGGUCGGCAAGCAGACUCUGGCAAGAAAAGUGGAAUCAUCCAUUUCUUAGAGGGCGUCCGAAAUCCAAAUAGACCGUGAAGCUUACAUUUCCCAAGCACCACUCGUGCAGCUUCAAUAUUAAACUAUUCAAACUUUCAUUAAUUGGUGAAACCAUCCUCGCAAGUAUAGAAAAUAUAUGUUGAACACAUCAACUAUCAGCAGACAGGCUGGUUGCUCGGAUCGAGUUUAUUGGAAGCUGGUGGCUUAGGAGAUUAGAGGGUGUCUUCUGAUGAUGCUACGAAUUUGAUAUUGAAAAUGUCACGAUGAUAGCUUUACUUAUUCAAUGGACGCCAAAUUCAUUAAGAAAAUGAUAGUCAAUUUGUCGCCCGUCUUCUACACAUGAUUUAUGAUCAAACGGCUUAAAUUUCAUGAUCAUGAGUCAUCAUCAUUAAUUACCCUUGAACCUAGAUUUUGAGCACUUUGAAAAUGCAGAAAUAAUGGGAAGAUUGACUGUGUGAGUGUAUUAUUGAUCUUCCAGGAAGGUGGGGCAUUGACUGUUUUACAAGCAUAUCCCACAAGGCUUGCUGCCAUCUUCUCAUACAGGAAUGAUUUUUUGGAAAUGGCUUUGAAGUGAAGGCAUCUAUGUUGAAUGGGGGACAGGAUAUACAGACCAUCCAUAUUCCUCCGGUCUCCUGCUUACCUGCAUCAAUGACUUGUAACUUCAAUAAUUGUUUUUUAAAUUUCUUUCUUCUACAAACAACUUUUUCCCUUUCUUAUAUUUGAGAAUUUGAAGAAUGUUCAAAACUAUUACCAAAAAUUACAAACUAUUAUGUUAUUUAUUCAAUAAUGUUGCAUGCAGGGAUGCCACCGGGUAUGUUUUUUUGGAUGCUUGUCCUUAAAAUUUAAAUAAUAAGUUGGGGACGGAUUUAUGAUUAUUUUUUAAAAUUGGGAUGGAUUCGGACAGGUUUAGAUAUUGUUUGUCCCACCUGCCUGAUUAUUUUUCAAAAUUAAUUUUAAAUUUUAAUUUAAUUUUGAUUUUCCCAUUUUAAAAAUAUAAUAAUAAUAAUAAUAAUAAUAAUAAUAAUAAAUUACUUUGUGAUAAAAUAAGGUAUAAAAAUUAUAAUAUUUUAAUUAUUUAUAAAAUAUAUUUAUUUUAAUGUAAUUUAAAAUUUUAAAUAAAAUAAAAUAAAAUAAUUUUACAAAAAAAAGUUAAAUAGACCUAGUGGGGCAGAAGAGAGAAAUGCAUACCUAUUUUGUCCAUCCCUUCUAUUUAAUUUUUUUAAUUGGACUGAAAUAGGAAUAAUUUUGAAUAAGGGGAAUGGAGUCGGGAUGGGAUGGCCGCCCGUUACCAUCCCUGGUUGCAUACUUGCAUGUAAAUGAAUAUAAGGCAAUAGCAGCAAUUCCCACACUCACCGAAUAUUUUUCAAAUAUUGGUUCAUCCUCUGCAUGUUGGUCAAGUCAGAAUCCUUUUCUUCUGUGUAUGCCCUGGCGCAGACACUUUAAAAUUUUUUAAAUCAUUCAAGGUCUGUUUGGUAGUUUCCAUUUUGGAAAACAAACAGUAUUUUUUUUAUAUCUAAACAUAUAUGGCCAUAGAAAUGAAAACAAACACAAUUUUUUCUUUAAUUAUUUUUUCCUUUUGAAAAAACUAUAUAGUCUAUAUUUUAUAGUUGAUACUUUCUUGAAUCUCAUCUCUCAAGAAAAUAUUUCUUUUGGAAAAAUAUGAGGAUAUCGUUAAAAAUUUGAAUUGUAAGACAUUCAAAAAUUUUCAUUUGAAUUAUUAAGAAUUUCUUAUAUGGAGAAGAAGACCACCAUUUAUAAUAAUACAUGAAUUAUUGGUUAAUUUAGAUGCUUAUCCAAUUAGCACCUCAAUUUUUCUUUGAGUUUGCAAUAAAUUAUAACUUUUAGUUGACCAAUGUAUUAAUAUGAUAUUAAAUUAUCAAUUAAUUUAAAAUUUUAAUUUAUUAGGUAAUUGAUUAAUAAUAUAUUGUAAAAUAAUGGAGAAUUUAUAGAAGCCAACCCAUCAAUUUUCACCAGACAAGCUGUUUUGCUUAGGAUUAUGCAAUAUCUUCCCAUAAUAAAUUAGAAACUAUUUGGAUGUUCAGCACUUAAUUAGGUUACAAAAAAUAGCUUAAUUUUCAUUGGCCGUGGAUGAAUCGCUUAUCAAUAAUUAGUCUCUGGAGCCUGAUUUUCAGUACUUUCAAUCAGAGAAAUAGCAAGAUUGACUCAGUCGAGAUAUUAGUUGUGUUAUUGUCCUUGAAUGAAGGGAGGGCAUGAACCCUCAACAUAUCCACAAGGCCUGCUUCCAUCUUCUCAUACAAAAAUUGAUCUGUAAAUUGCUUUAAAAUGAAGCAGUUAGGUUGAAUGGGGGACACGAUGUGCAGGCCAUUCAUAUUCUUCUGGUCUCCUCUUCGCCCGCAUGCAUGACUGGUAACUUCAAUUAUUGAUUUCCAUUAAUUCUUCUUGCGAUAUAUAUUUUUUUCCCAUCUCUUCUAUUUGAGGCUUUUAAGAGUACCCAUAGCUUUAGGAAUCAAAAUAAUUCAAAAACAAACAAACAAACAAACCCAUCCUUCCAUGUGAAUGAACAGCUUCCAUAUUCUUCCAGCUUCAAAUUGAAUUUUAGAUUCAAUUAAUUGAAAAACUAUGGCAUACUUUCAUGCCCAUCAGACAUCCAAGCAAGAAUGUAAUCUUGCUCUGAUCCAAAGGGAUGAGAAGAUGAGUGCAAAUGGACAAGUACAGCUACAAGCUCUCCACAUUACAGACAAAAAGAAUCCCUUAUGAGGUGAAAGUCAAGAAAAUGAGCAAGCAAUCUAGGCUUAGAUUCACGAGACACACCACCCGUGCCCCUACAAAGCCAUAUUAAACUGAGGAUAAAGCCUGCACCACCACCAGACACGGCGUCGAAUUUAAGAAGAGUAAUGCAAAUGGAUGCAUUAUCAAAACAUUUCAACGUUAUUAAUAUAUAGAGUUGAGAUAAGGUAGUUUUAUAAUCACAUGGAUUAAUUAGGAGUGAAUGCCUCGUGGCCCGUGGGUGCUAGCUUUUGGAUAAUGUUUUAAGAUAUCGUUGCCUGGCUCGUGAAUUCUAGGUUUUAGUCUUUUAGAUAGGGUGACGACUGGCCUCCGCCCUCCGCCCUCCGCCCUCAGCUCACCUUUCUCUUUACUUUGAUUUCCACCUAAUUUGUUUUUAUCAGGCACAAAUCCAAAGUCCAACUAAGAAGCUUCCAUUCACUAUGUCAAGCUAUCCAAUAUCAUCAUCAUAGAUUCAUAGCUUCCCUUGUCUAUUUCUUGGAAAAAUCUUUCAGGAUUUCAUUUAUUUUAUAAGAAAUUUAAUGUUAAAAAGUUGUAAAACAGUUUAAUAAACCAUACUUAAUUGCCACAAAACACCAUUCAUACGUCAUUCAUAUUCUAAUUAAAAAAAAAAUAAUUUCUUCACUGAGAAUUGAGAUUGCAAACAUUGUUUUGAUGAAAGAAUGUAAAAUUAUAUCGAAAACGAUGGGAUAAAUUUUUUUAUGCUAUUCUGAAAAUCAUUACCAUAUCAAAUUAAAAAUAUAAAUUUAAAUAGGAUUAAAAUUUUAACUAUGAGUAACUUUAAAUUUUCAAAUGUAAUUUGAGAAGUAAAAUUUAAUUUAAUAUAUUCAUUUGUAUAUCAAAAUUAGAAAAAAAUAAUCUUUCACAACAUGUUUAAAAUUUAUGUCUAAAUUAAAAAAAUUAUCAGGUACUUAUAAAUUAUUUUUCAAAUCAAUACUCCAUUUAAAUGAAUAUAAUGAAUUUGCUAUUUAUUAAACUUUCAUUUGGGUACAUUUUUAUAUUUUUACUUAAUUUCUAUCUAUAAAAUGUAGAAACUUUAAUAGAAAAAAAAUUACAAAUUUAUUUUUUGUUUUAAAAAAUUAUUUUUUAAAAUUCUAAAUUUUUAGAUGGUAAUUUUUUUUAAUACCUCACAAUUUCCAAUCAAUUUUUAGAAACCUUUUAAGAUUUUUUUUAAUAUUUUAUAUGUAAGUUACUAUUGUUUUUUGUUUUUUGUUUUUAAAUUACAUCUAAUACACUAACGCUCAUUUAGACGCAUUUCCUUCUUUUUUUUUUUUUUUUUUAAUGAUAAUAACUUUUACAACAUAUUAUAAUAGCUCCUAUGUAAAAGAUAUACACAUUUCUUGUGAUUUUUUAAAAUUUUGAGAUAAUAAUUUUUUUAGUGGCUCUAAUUUCAUAAACAAAUUUUUAAGUAAAUUUCUUGUUACAGAAGUUAUUAUUUUAUGUUUCUAAAAUAAAAAAUUGACAAAUGUAUCCAAAGUACUCAUUUACAAACUCCAUCUAUAUCAACAUUUGGAAUAACAAAAAAUAAAUUAAUCUGGGUCUUUUGGUCACAUUUUUAUUCUUUUAACUUAAAAACAAAUUUAAGAAAACAUGGUUAAAUGACCCAUGUUUUCCUUUUGAUUUUAAAAAUUGAUAAAAAAAUUUCUACUUAUUUUUAAAAAUUAUUUUUAAUUUCAUUUUUUUUAAAAAAAAAUUGUUUAUAAAGAAGAACAACCAAAUAUUUUUUUUUUUAAAUAAAGCUCUUUUUAAAUCACCAUGAAACAUGCUUUUAUUUACCACAAAAUAAAAAAACUUUUAAUUUCUUAAACAGUUUUUCAUUUAAAAAAUUUAUCCGUGUAUAAAUUUUGAAAUUGUUAGGAGCAAUGGCUUUUAAUCAUUUUGAUGACAUGCCCCAAAAUCUAAAAUUUUUAUUAAGCAAUUAAAAUAUCUCUGAGAGAUAUUUUUGUUCAAUGAAUCAAUGGAAUGGAGUGCAUGAGAAGAUAUUCAAAUGGUGUACAUGAGAAGACAUAUCAUGUUUGGUUCAAUGUUGGGGAUUAGAAAUGACAAUGAAACGAAUUGUCUCGUCCCGUCUCCAUCAUUCAAGCAUAGUAGUUUCAUUCCCACCCAAAACGCCAUCCUUACCCUGGACUACACAUCUUACUUACCCUCCACGCCUUUUACAGCUCAGCUCUCUCAUAGACAAUGAUUGGCAUCAUUAUUUGGAAAAGAAAAAGGCAGACAAUAAUCAUCGAGACAAAAAUUAAUAAAACAUAUGUUAAAAAUCCAACCUGUAAGGCUGUAACCCACCAAAAGUCCCUGAGAAGGUGCAGGGGAAAUGCUAGUAUGAUUUUGUGCACACAGUUGAUUGAGGAUUGCCAUGAAACUUAAUGUGUAAGUCAAAAUUCUAACCACUACGGAAAUAAAUCUUAAAUGGAAAAUGAAAAAUGAAAAAUAUUUGAAUAAAAGAUAUGUUUGGAGAAACAAGUCUAUCAUAAUUCUGCAUUGGUAGCAUUAUUUGGAAAAAAAUAUAAACCAUGGCUUAUCUUUUAUUAACCUGCAUUGCUCAAAGCAGUAGUAACCAAUUUUUUUUUCUUUAUUUAGAUUGGUCAAUUUUAAAUCUUGAAACACGUAGCCCCACACGUGACCAGCAAAAUGGCUUGGUACUAGGAAAAGCAAUUUGUGCCCAAAACGUGGGAGUAACAAAAUGGGUAUGAGACUUUUAGUUUUAGUCACUGGGGAGAGAAUUUUGGCAGCAACAAGUUUCUUCUUUCUUAACAUUACAGUCUUACAGAGUAAACUUAGGGCCAUGCUACCAGGGAGAGGCAAGGGAUUUGGCCCCAAAAUGUACGAUUUUUCUUUGUUAAAUCAAUGCAAACAACUAUCACCCAUUAAUUUUAAUGAGUGAAAUCAUUUUACUCCAGAAAUCAGAAGUUGCAAUAGAGUAGUAAUAGAAGGCGUUCAUAAUUUUGGGUUUAAAGUGGGAAGUUAAUUAAAAUUUGGGCAAAACGUGCUUACUGGGGGUAGUGGGCAAUAAAGAAGUGAAUAGAGGUGGUAGGGGAGCUGUCAUCCAGCUGGACUCUCAAAUGCAAAAAUGGGUAUUCGUUUAUCCCAACUCACAAGUCACAAGUCACGAGUAGUAUGUGAAUUGGCAAUGGCAGCUAAUGACUCAUGAGAAAUGGCAGAGCGCGUCAUCUCUCCUUCUCGCCUCGGAUGCUCACUGUCACACUGUUUCCCCACUCUUUUAUCAACCUCAAGGUCCCAAUGCUGACUGCCAGUUGGAUCGUCCGCGCUUCCCGAUAUUAUUUCUAUAUUGAGCCCCAAGCCCCUUCCAGCCUGUCACCUUUCCUACCUUCUCCAACGUCUCUCUCUGCCUUUUUUGCUUUUCCCAUUCAAUGCCCUUCACUCUCUCCACCGCUACGGCUCCACAGUACUCAUUCUGAGGCCUACUUUGGUCAAAUCAAAAGUCCUCUCAAACUGUAUCCAAGCUGUAUUUAGGUUUUGUCCUGUAGCUAUAAAAAUUGAAAAGGAAAGGAGAAACUGACUUUAACAGGGGCACUCCUCUGGAAACUUUUAAAAAAGUGCCGGCUGGCAUUGCCCUUUGUGUUCUUAAUGCAUACAAAAGUGCAAAUGGCUUUGUGAUUUUUCUGACUGGAGCGUGUUAUUUGGGGCCUCAGGUUUUUUAUAGAACCGCGUUGGAGAGUACCGUUGCCUCUCUCAAACUUCAACUGCCCCUUGCAUCUUUCUGAGCAGGUUCGAACGAGGCCCCACCGCACAGCCCACUCCUUCGAUUUAAAAUUGUGACACCAGACGGUCUAUAUAUAGAGACUCACACCCCUCUUGUCUCUACACAGACUCAAAACCACAUCAGCAGCCUCUCCUCCUGCUUCAUUUUCCUUGUCCACAACAUUUCUCUAUCUGCGUUCUAAAUAUGGUUUCUUUUAUCUCUAUACGCCAUUUUCUGCCAUUCCUCUUUGUGAUCUCUCUGUUCCAUGUGAGCUAUGCUGCGAGGAAGCUCAAUGAGCUGGUACAACAGCAGCCUCUGCUCUUGGAAUACCAUAAUGGCCCUCUCCUCUCUGGAAAAAUCUCUAUAAACCUAAUCUGGUACGGCAAAUUCAAGCCUUCCCAGCGGGCUAUCGUUUCAGAUUUCAUUACCUCCCUUUCUUCUUCUUCCCUGUCUCAGGACCAGCCUUCCGUUGCCACCUGGUGGAAAACCACAGAGAAGUACUACCACCUCACCUCCAAGAACCCAUCUUCACUCAAGCUCUCCUUGGGCGAACAAAUACUCGAUGAGACCUACUCGCUCGGGAAGUCACUCACAGGGAAGCAAAUCGUUCAGUUGGCUUCCAAGGGUGAACAAAUGAACGCCAUUAACGUGGUUUUGACCUCCUCUGAUGUGGCCGUGGAAGGGUUCUGCUCCAGCCGCUGCGGGACUCAUGGAUCUUCUUCGAGUUCCAAGAAUGUUCAAGUCAAGGGCAAGAACUACAAGUUUGCAUACGUCUGGGUUGGGAACUCUGAGACUCAGUGCCCUGGCCAAUGCGCCUGGCCCUUCCACCAGCCCAUCUACGGACCCCAGAGCCCACCGCUAGUCGCACCGAACAACGAUGUGGGUCUGGAUGGCAUAGUCAUAAACUUGGCUAGCCUCUUGGCUGGAACUGCGACCAACCCUUUUGGAAAUGGCUACUUCCAGGGUCCGGCGGAGGCGCCCCUAGAAGCUGCAUCGGCUUGCCCUGGGGUUUACGGGAAGGGGGCAUACCCUGGGUAUGCUGGGGAUUUGUUGGUGGAUUCAGUGACUGGUGCUAGCUAUAAUGCCCAUGGUGCCAACGGGAGGAAGUACUUGCUUCCUGCCUUGUAUGAUCCUUCUACAUCCUCGUGUUCUACUCUGGUCUGAAGCAGAUUAGUGUCUUGACGACAGAAACUUCGUAGAAUUUACAGGCCUUAGAAAAAUCCAGAGAGAUACUGUUAUUCAUUCAUUUAUUUGUUCUUCCCGUGGUAGUUUCAAUAAUAUCAAAGCAAAUUGGUUUGGUUUGCUUUUUUCACUUGAAUGCAUCUUUCCAAAUUACAAUGCCUCAACAUGAAUGAAUGAGGUGAUUUGUUGCAGUGUUGAGGAUAUUCCCAGUGAAAUGGGUUCUACUCAUUGAGAAUUACUUUAAUUACUCUUAUGUCCUUCCUUCUCAGUGGUUGUACCUGUGCCAGCGCUUAAAGCCGUGUGCAGUAUGUAUAAAGGCGUGGCAUAUGGAAUUUUAUCUCUUAACAGGGUAUUGGAUCACAAGCACCCCCAACACAAUCACGGGAUUGAGGCGAAAUAGACAUAAUAGCAUCCUCCCACGUAGAAAUUGUUGACUUUGAUCCUCAAACAAGAAAUUGUUAAUACCUAAAUAUAAGAUUCUAACAAUUUUAAACGGAUUUACAUAAUUAAGAAAAAUUUAUACAUAAUUAAAAAACGUUUAGUCACGUCUAAAAUUUCCCGUUGGAUAGAAUUAUUAUUUUAUCAAGAGCUUUCAUACAAUACCAAUGCCAUUUAAUGUGCCGAUAAUAAUAACAUUAUCUUAGCAAUGUAUAAUAACAUUUGGCACUUUCAUCUUUACGUUUGCCUUAAUGAGUAAAUUACCAAUUAAAAAUAUUGCUAAGAAGCUCUAAACGGCAUUUUGCAUUGGAGAUGCUCUAAAACAUGUGUUAAUCACACAUUUCUAAGUCUCUUAACUCUGGAUCUACUUCAUUAAAUCAGGAAUUGUGAGGUUACCAUUAAUAGUGAAAAAUGAGACACACACUUCCCAAUUAUCUUACUAUUAUAACCUCGGAUUCUCCGCCGGCUUGGCUGAAUCUAAGUACUGGGUGUGAGGGUUUAUAAGUGGAUAUACUCAAGGCAACUAAGCCUUUUUUUUUUUUUUUUUUAUGAAGUGAGAUCUUAUACUUUGAAAAGCAUUGGAAGAUCAACUAAAUCUAUUUUUCUACGGAAGAAGUGAGAUCUUAUAUAUAUAUAUAUAUAUAUAUAUAUAUUCUUGUUUUGUAUAAGUGGAUAAUUUAUUUUCCUAAGAUAAUUUAUUCCUAAGAAAAUCUUACUUCAAGUAUUUUAUGGAAUCUAAAAAUUUAAAAUUUUUAUUUUUAUUUAUAAUCUAAAUGUUAAAUAAAAUUUUAAUAUUAAUUUUAUAAUUUUAUACAAAUUUAUGAUUUCUCAUUUUAGUAAGGGAAAUUUUUUUUAAAAUUAUAUAAAUAUGAAUUUUUCUUCAUUAUUUAGAAGCCGUUAAUGUUCUUUUGACUCACACGCAUAUAAUAUCUAUCCGAUUAAAAUUGCACCAUUAAUAUGUUUGUAAUAUCUCAUGUUAAUGUUCUUUUGACUCAAACGCAUAUAAUAUCUAUCCGAUUGAAAUAGCACCAUGAAUAUGUUUGUAAUAUCUCAUAUUGAUCGGGGAAAAUAGAAGAUAUUUUUUUAUGCAAACCUCCACAACCCGCUUAAAGAACGAAGAAUCGAAACCAUUUAAUGUACGCGUCCGGACAGAUAGUAAUGGAGCAGAGCCAUUUCCAUUUCUCUUUCUUCAGGUAUGCACUAACCAGGAAGCACCCAACUUUCUCCCUUCCCAUUUUCCUUGUUGGAGUCAGCUGUCUUCAGUGUCCGUAUCUAGUUUUUGUUCCGCUAUCACACUCCUUUUUGUUCCGCUAUCACACUCCAUCUAGUUAUGUGCCAUAAUUCCCUUUGUCAUAUUCUGACGGAAAAACCAAUUAAAUCCUUAAUCAUCAAGCUAAAACAUUUGUUCUUUGAAACUACAAAUUUAGGCUCUAUGUGGACCCCGCAUUUCGGCUUAAUGCGUUUCCCACUCGAUGACGAAACUCGAUUUUUAUUUGAAAAAAAUUGAUUUUUAUUGAUUAAGAAAAAUGACUUGGAGUCGUCACUUAUUUUUGUUUUAUUUUUAAAGGGUAAACAAAAUAAGAAAGAAAAACCCUAAGUGUAACUCCUUAUUUUGGAAAAGGUGGUCUGUGAAAAACCGGAUCGGGUUCGGGGGUUAGGUUACUUAUCGGGAAGGUACGGUAAAGACCAUAGCACCCCUCUAAGUCCCUAAAAACGGGUCUCUACUAAUAAAAUGAAGCUAACAUGGCAACCAAUGAGAAAGUCAAUGAAUACUCAAAUCGAUCAUGCACGUAUGAGUAUCAGAAUAUGCAAUAGAGGAUAACCGAAGUGAAAGUGGAUGCGUACCUGAUCAGCAAACGGCAACGCGCUGAAAGAACCCUUUUCCAGUAAGGCUCUGUUUAGCUGUCAAUGCCUUCAAUCCUCCUCCAAUGUCGACAAAGCCAACCAGCUUACCCUUCUGAACAGCACCCCCUCCUCCUGCAGCUCCAAUGAACCCCUCCGAAGCUCCCUUCUCCUCUCCAGCUCAAGAGAUCACUCUCUCAGCCAAAAGAUUUCUCCUCUGCCCCAAAAACUGCAAAACCCCCACAACCUUCCAAAAGCAACCUCACUUUCUCAGAAUCCUUCCUCCCUUCCUGCCUCAAAAUGACUAAACAAAAGCUCUCCCCUCAAAAGAUCUCUGCAGCCUCCAACUUCUCUCUCCCCUCGUUUUUCCCCUCAACCCUCCGUGUCAAGAUAUCUUCACCUCUUUUACUAAAAGCCCAUCUCUGAAAAGCAUCUCCCUCUCUGAAAAAAAAUCCCCAACGGCAGCCCAGACCCCUUCUCCUGCAGCUGGCCUGCUGCUCCUCAACAGAAACGUACCUCCUCUCUAACGGCCAGAAUAUCUCCAUGCCACGUGUCAAACUCUCACUCGCUCCUCAAUUCCACCAUCUGUUUCUAUGACCACCAACCACGAGGCGACACGUGGCUCCUUGAGAGCCCUCCACCUGCAAAGAAUUAUAACCUGUAGAGAUGCAAAGGAAUGAGCCCCAAAUGGGGGUCUACACUCUAAUAUUAAAAUUUAUUUUUAAAAUAAAAAAAUAGAUACUAUAUCUAUUAAUGUUUAUUACUUAUUUUUAAGAGUUUUGGGUCAAAAUGGUCAUUUUAAAAAAAAAAAAUUGUAACAUCUAACCACUCUUUGAAACUUAUGUUCAAAUUAGGCUCUUUGGUACCACGUAGACGCCGUCUUCAUUAAAAAAUAUUUUUUUCAUCAUUUUAGUUAAAGUCGCAGUUGAUAAUCGCGAUUUCAUUUUUGAACUAAAGUCGCAGUUGGCAAUUGUGGCUUCAUUUUUAAACUAAAGUCGCAGUUGACAAUUGCAGUUUUAUUUUUGAAAAAACUGUAGUUGUCAACUGAGACUUUAGUUAAUUUUUUUUUAAAAUUUAAAAUUUAAUUAAAAAUUAUUAAAUUACAAAUUUAUGAUUGAAAAAUUAAAAUAUACUUAAAUAAUAAAUUAUUUAUAUUUAAAUUUAAAAAUCUAGUAUUACUUCAGCAAACAUAAAUUGAUAAAUAGAAUAUAUUAUAAAUGAAUAUUUUAUUUAUUAAUAAAUUAAUAAUCUUAAAAUAAUAAACUUGUAUAACAUAUAAAUAAUAUAUAAAAUUGUAUAAUUUAUUAAUUUAAGAUAUUUAAUUUGUUGUUUUUUAAAAUAUUAAUUUAUUUGUAUUAUGAUAAAUUUAUCUUUAUCGAAAUAAUUGUAUACUUUUAAGCUGCAAUUGAUAACUAAGAUUUCAAUUAUAAUUUUUUUUACUUUCAAAUUUAAUUAAAAACUAUUAAAUUACAAUUUAUGAUUGAAAUUUAAAAAAUAUACUUAAAUAAUAAAUUAUUUAUAUUUAAACUUAAAUUAUUUAUAAGAACAUGUUCAUAUUUAAAUAUAAAUAAUUUAUUAUUUAAGUAUAUUUUUUAAAUUUCAAUUAAUUUUUAAUUAAAUUUGAAAGUAAAAAAAAAAAAUUAUAAUUGAAAUCUCAAUUAUCAAUUGCGGGUUAAAAGUAUAUUAUUAUUUUGAUAAAGAUAAAUUUAUCAUAAUACAAAUAAAUUAAUAUCUUAAAAAACAAAAAAUUAAAUAUCUUAAAUUAAUAAAUUAUAUAAUUUUAUAUAUUAUUUAUAUGUUAUAUAAGUUUAUUAUUUUAAGAUUAUUAAUUUAUUAAUAAAUAAAAAUAUUUAUUUGUAAUAUAUUUUAUUUAUCAAUUUAUAUUUAUUAAAGUAAUACUAGAUUUUUAAAUUUAAAUAUAAAUAAUUUAUUAUUUAAGUAUAUUUUUAAAUUUUAAUCAUAAAUUAUAAUUUAAUAAUUUUUAAUUAAAUUUUAAAUUUUUUUAAAAAAUUAACUAACAGUUAACAAUUACGACUUCAAUUAAAAUGACGAAAUUUUUUUUUAAUAAUAUAAUAUUUAGGUGUUACCAAAAAAAAUCAAUUUGAACAUCAUAAGUCUCAAAGUGGCGGAUGUUACCAUUUUUUUUUUUUAAGGUUCAUUUUGACCCAAAACUCUAUUUUUAAAAUCUGGUUUUCAAAACAAUCAUGGAGGAUGAUGAGUUGUUCUCCAAAGACGUUCAAAUAAAUGUAUUUAUAAUUUAGAAAAUGGUAAAAAAAAAUAACAAAAUGGAAGAAAAAUAAUAAAGAAAAGAAAAGUUUGACGAUGAUAAAAAGUCACCCCUAGGCUCUUAAUGUCCUUAGCUGUAAACGUAGGGUUUUUGAUUUUUCACAGCGAAAGACAGAUCCGCACUCAACCAGAUUAAUUUCGAACGCGCUAUUGAGUAUUGAGCUGGCAUUUGCUUCGCUUUUCGCCUUUUCCCUUCCUUCUCGGCACUUUCAUUCAUACCCUCCCCCUCGCUCCUCUCACGCUGUUGGUCACACUCUCCCCACUGCCUAUUUUACUAUAUAUAUGAAACCCCCAAUUCAUCUUCUCCUCACUCCAAAGUUCCAAACCCCCACCAAAGCCAUCUAUCUCUACAGCUUAGCUUCACUGCACUCUAAAGUCCUAACUACCAUGGCAUCUUUCGUUCCUACUCAAUGCCUUUUACAACUCCUCUUUGUGGCUUCUCUGUUUCCAUUCAUCUCAGCAGCCAGGAGACUUGCUCAAGACCAGCAACCUCUGCUUCUUCAAUACCACAAUGGCCCUCUUCUUUCCGGAAAAAUCUCCAUUAAUCUCAUCUGGUACGGAAAGUUCAAGCCUUCCCAACGCGCCAUUGUUUCUGAUUUCAUUACCUCCCUCUCUUCCUCCAAAACCACCCCCCACCAACCCUCUGUUGCGGCGUGGUGGAAUACCAUCGACAAAUACUACCUCCUCAUUAAGUCCAAGAAAUCCACCUCCCUCGGUCUCUCCCUAGGCACCCAAAUCCUCGACGAGAACUACUCUUUGGGUAAAUCACUGACCAGUCGAAAUCUCAAACAGUUGGCAGCAAAGGGGCAGCAGAGCAACGCCAUUAACGUAGUCUUGACAUCUUCUGAUGUAGCCGUUGAAGGGUUCUGCUCCAGCAGGUGCGGAACACAUGGGUCUUCUCCCAGCUCCAAGACUGCUAAGGUUAAUGGCAAGAUCUCCAAGUUCGCAUACAUCUGGGUGGGUAACUCCGAGACUCAGUGCCCAGGUCAAUGCGCAUGGCCAUUCCACCAGCCCAUUUACGGACCCCAGAGUCCACCCCUGUCCGCACCCAACAACGAUGUGGGUAUGGAAGGUAUAGUUAUGAACCUGGCUAGCCUCUUGGCUGGAACUGUUACGAACCCCUUUGGAAAUGGAUACUACCAAGGUUCCGCAGAGGCUCCCCUGGAGGCUGCAUCGGCUUGCCCUGGGAUUUAUGGGAAGGGCGCGUACCCUGGCUAUGCCGGAAAGCUGUUGGAGGAUCCCACCACAGGUGCUAGCUAUAAUGCCAAUGGUGUGAAUGGGAGGAAGUACCUGCUUCCUGCAUUGCUUGAUCCUUCAACUUCCACCUGUUCUACUCUGGUCUGAUAGACUGAUACUACUAUGCUUCUCUAAAUUCAUUUAGUUGUAUAGCACGGAGAGGAUAAGCGAUUCUUUGUUUGUAUUUGAUUAAUUACCAUUAUGUAUUCUUUUUCCCGUCUGAAUAAAUGAAAUUCCAAUGUUUUCUUUCAUAUCCAAACCAGCUCAGCCUUCCUCUGAUAUUUUUUCUUCACAUCCCAAUCCCAAUCCCAACAAAAGCCGCACUGCGCCCUCCUCUGCUAUUCAAACUCGUCUGUGGUCAAAAUCAUUAAUGAGAUCCACCAUUGGAGAAAGCUUUAUAAUAAGGAAAGUUUUAAGCAAAACCUUUAGGACAUGGAAUGAUCUGCUGCUUUUCUCGUCCUAUAUUUUUAAUUUUUAAUUUAAGACUUGAUUUUCCAACCUCCUCUACAUGCCAUCAUUAUUUAUUCUGAAGUUGCAAUUGAAAGAAACGUUUAUAGCACGUUUUGCAGGAAUAUUAUUAAUAAUUUAACUAUGUAACAUUCUCAAAAGGCAGUCUAAGAAGAUGUAUACUUCCAACCUUGGAUUUUGUCACAAUUAUUCAUGGCCCGGCCUCCACAUGAAAUUCUAAUAGAUGUUCAAUAAUUCAAACGGAAAUGUGCAAUAGAAUAUGUCAACCCUUCAAUGUGAGGAUGGUUUGGCUAAAAUUUUAGCUUAAAUUAAGAUUUUAGAGAAUAUAACAUCAUAAUUUUUUUUCAUGUUUGUCGUAAGGAAGAUAUAAAAAGGGCCUUAUCACGUUUGUGAUAUAAAUUUUCUAAUUUAAUUUGAUAAUUUCUUUUUUCUCAUGAAAAAAAAUUUCCUCAGAAUGAAUGCAAGUUGGUUUUUGAGAUAACAAUACGUUGGCUAGAUGUGUAAUAUAUGAAAAAUUAGAAAAUAAAAUAUUUAACAAAUUUUCUCCUGUUAAUUCAACAUUUCUCAAUAUUUUUAUAAAAUUAAAAUUAUUAUUUUUAAAAUAUUAUUUAUAAAUCAAUUUAAAAUAUUUAAUAUUAUUAUUCUAUAACAAAAUAACCUAUUAAUUUUUCUUUUUAACUUUUUAAUACCUAAUAAAAAUAAAAUAUUAAAUCAACAAACUACUUAAUACUAUUUAAUUAUAAAGUCUAUUUAAAAUUAAAUUCGAAAAAAAAAAAGAAAAUACCAUCUUAAUCAUUUCGAAUCAAUUCUCCAAAUUAGAUUUUGAGGGCUUAAUUUUUUAACAUAGCAUCAUUUGAAAUUUUGAAUCGAUACAACUUUUAUAAUAAAUAAGUUUUUGGCUAAAAAGAGUAUAUAUAAAAAUAAUUUAAUUUCACACCGUCUAUGUAUCUUUGUAAAAAGUUACUUUAUAAAAGUAUUUGAUUCUUAACUUAAUUUUUAGAAAAAGCUCCUUAAUCACGAAUCUCUCAUUUUUUAUAUAUUUAAUAAAUUUGUUUUAUAAAAUUUCUUGAAUUGUUUGAAACAUAUGCUAUAUGAUUUCAAUGAUAUUUAAAGUAAAACCUUGAUCAACUAACUUUCUAGAAGACAUAAAUUUUUUAGAAAUCUAGAACUUUAGGUGUAGCAAUAACAAAGAUAUUUAAGUGGCAUACAAGUCAGAUUGUUUUUGAGGAGUUUCAAACUUCAAAUCAUAACCGGUCCAAAUGUUAUACAUUUGAGCAGGAAACAGAAAGACUGUCACUAAUUUGGGGUGUUAGUUUAGCCAAAUUAAGCUAGGGCCAUAAGAUGUUUGGGACCACCUCGAUUUUAAGUCAUUUUGCCAACAACUAUGGAGGCAUUAACAACUAACUAGGCAGGCCGGACCCUUAUCCAUUUCUAUAAAAGACAUCAUCUGUAUGGCUACCGACCUAAAUUUAUUGCAUGCCAAAUGAACAAAUUUCAUACCCAAUAAUCACAUGUAACUUCUAAUUAGCUGGGUGUAAUUGUUUUGUCAUUAAAAUUGCUGUCCCGGUCCCAUCACAUGGUGCGAAUACAUCGUGAUUUGUUAACUUAAUUGGAAAUAUUACAAUCCAAACAACUAAGAUUGUGGGUAUUAAUGGAAAAUCCAAUAUUGCAAUGUUGAUGGUUGCAACUUGCAGCUUGGAUCUUAUACUUAUAGUCUCACACUUGUUUCACACGUAGUCGAUAUGAUCAUGAAUAACGGGGUCCAUCCCCUAGGGCCCCGUGAUAACAACAGAGCACCUAAAAAUUAAAAUGGUGUGCAUGUAGCCGCCGCCAGGAAAACCAUGCCAGUGUUCGGAAUAAUUUUGGCUUUUGUGUCUUUCAAGCUAGCCGCUUCUCCAGAGAGAUGGAAGCACGGUAUCGAUCGAAUCAAGUGGAUCAGGGCCCGGAGUUUUAAAUGGCGCACACCGAUGUUUUGAGCCAUCUAAAACCAUGAGCAUUAUUGAUUCCUUGAGUUAUUUAGAAAAUGGGGAUGUGCUUUCAGCAUAUACAAACUCACCUGUGACUAUCUUACUCUUAAAGCAAAUAAUCACGGACGAGUGCUAACCCUAGGAUCGUUAUCUUCACAUGCAAGGAUUACCUACUUGUUAUUCCCCCUGUCCCUUGACUUUGGGUUUUAUAUUUUUGGACGAUCAGAAAGAAGGAGACACCUACCCUUGAUAACCACGUCAUCAGACACAACCUGGCGAAAACUGCCACGCGUUUGACACUAAAAGUGGUCAAUUAAUCAACGCGGCACGAUUUCAAUGUUUCUUCCAUCACCCCCUUUUGGCCAGCGCCACACGCGCACGCCAUGACGACACUACCUUUCUAUGACUAUAAGUAUCGCAACAAUCGAACUCUUCCUUCACACUCAUUCCUCACCAAUCCAGCUUUUCACACUCUCUGCAUCACCUUCACCCCACUACUUUACCUUCUCAAUGACUUCUACUUACCAUUUCUCCAUCUUUGUUUCACUUCUCCUACUCUCCUUCCUUCUCAACCCCACCUCCGCCACACCUCGAAAACUCUUCUCUCUUGUUCAAGAGCAACCUCUCAUUCUCAAGUACCACAACGGGCCACUCCUUAAGGGCAACAUCACCCUCAAUCUCGUUUGGUACGGAAACUUCUCCCCCAUCCAACGCUCCAUACUCGUCGACUUCCUCCAGUCUCUCAAUUCCCACACCACCACGCCCCACUCCGUCUCAUCGUGGUGGCAGACCAUCCAGAAGUACAAAGGAGUCUCCUGCACCCUCGCCGUUGGGAAUCAGAUCCUCGAUGAAGACUACUCUCUAGGGAAGUCAUUGCGAAGUUCAGACAUCAUUUCCUUGGCUUCUAGAUCAAACCAAAGGAGCGAAAUAACCGUGGUGUUCACGUCGGCAGACGUGGCGGUAGAAGGGUUCUGCAUGAGCCGGUGCGGGACUCACGGGUCAACUCAGAGUAAGUGGGCCUACGCGUGGGUGGGUAACUCGGAGACUCAGUGUCCGGGUCAGUGCGCAUGGCCAUUUCACCAGCCCAUGUAUGGACCACAGACUCCGCCGCUGGUGUCUCCAAACGGGGACGUGGGAAUUGACGGAAUGCUGAUCAAUUUAGCGACUGUUUUGGCGGGAACGGUGACUAAUCCGUUUGAUAACGGCUACUUUCAAGGGUCGGCUAGCGCGCCGUUAGAGGCGGUGACGGCUUGUACAGGUAUAUUCGGGACAGGAGCUUAUCCAGGAUAUCCCGGCGAAGUUCUGGCGGAUGGAACGACUGGGGCUAGCUAUAAUGCUGUUGGGGUGGAUGGGCGUAAAUACUUAUUGCCGGCGAUGUGGGACCCUCAAACCUCCACCUGCAAGACAUUAGUCUGAAGCCUGAACCUAAUGGAUGAUUUGUGUUCUGUGUGGUACCAGCAAUUGUUUGUUUGGAGGAGCUUUGUACUCCCAGCUUUGAAGUUUGUUCUUUUUUUUCAUCAACCUUAUCAUAUGUAAAUGUUUAUGUAUCAUUAAUUAAAUUUGUUUCAUUAGUCAACCAAUCCUCUGUCUCCUUUGCCUUCUAAAAAGUUUCAAAUUUUUUCUAACAAUUUUGGGUCAUUAGGUUUAGGUGGAAGUUUCAAGUUGACUAACCAGUUAGCUUCUGGAUUUAACUUAACCCCAUAUUAAGCUGAGGAACCAAUCUGGUUUUAGCACAUGUGCAUUGAUUGGUAUUCUUUAUAAUGGAAUGUAACUGCUUUCUUUUUUACCCCAUGAGAAGAUUUCACCAUAUUGUCCUCCAUUCUUGCACACAACCGUAUCAUCUGACUGAAUUUUCUAUGAAAUAAUAAUUAUUUUGGUUUUUUUUUUUCAUUUUUCUUUUUUCUAACACAUAUAAAGUAAAAAAAGAAAAAAUUAUUAUUAAAAUAAAUUACAAAAUUUAUUUAUAAAUUAUAUUUAUUUUCAAUAGAAUUAAAUUAAAAAAAUUAAAGAGAUAGGACGAAACCGGAAAUUCUCAUAUUUGUUUCAUUCGAAUCUUUUUAGGGAUAGAGUAACAAUUCUGUUGUCGCCUCGCGUAUCCGGUGGUCCACGUUGCUGCUAUAUGGAUGGACACGUGAUUCUCAACACACAAGGGGUUCUUGAUUUAGUGGUUGCACCUGCAAAAGGCAUCCGGACAGGGUGUCCGGACGCACCCUCCGAUGGUAUUGUUAGCCAUGGUUAUUUUAAUUGACCAUCCAGACGAUUUAUAUCCGGAUGGCUCAUGCUGAUCAUCCAGAUGUGUUGUGGAGACCAUCCGGAUGUCUACGCUCUGCCUGCGUCGUUUGCUCUUCCUUGGAUAGGGCUUGGCUUUCCUUGAGGUGGUCCGGAUAGGAUAACUGCACCAUGCAUACCUUUAGGGGAAUCCGGAUGAUGAUGGUCCGGAUGAUAAUAUGUGCCACGCGUCACCAUGAACUACGUGCCACGUGUUUCUCAAGGGGAGGGGUCCCUACAUUGCCCCCCUUUUUAACUUGCCUAUUUUGCCCGAAAAAAUGGGCGGGUUAAAAAUAACUGGCUUUUGAAAUUUGAAGAGGUCCCUUCGUUUGACUAGGCCACGUGGCGAGUGGCGGUGCGGAAGCCAAAAAAGGCAUUUAUGACGAGCCGCCGACCCUGUGUAUCCCCAGACAAUAUGUCGUUUCAAUGAUAUCAUGGCUGUUGGUUUGCCUUUCCGAGGGGCUGUCCUGCUAUAAAUAGGGCACUGUACCUCUUUUUGCAAUUUUUCCUACUGCAUUCUCUUGAGAGCCUUUCUUCUUACUGCUUUUUCUGCGCCCUUUGCUUCUCUGAGACAAACUUCGAAAGCUCUUUUGCACCGGUGUUUUUGUAUCGCGACUUUGUCUGUUUGCUGCUGGUGAUUUUGUAUCGAGGUAGUAACCGUUCUUCUUCUUCGGAGCUUUAUUUGGUACGUACGUCUUUGCUACUGUCACUCCUUUGGUUGCGUUUGCUGGUUCUUUAAUCUUGGUUUUUGGCUUGCUUGGGCAUUGUUUUGGACAGGUCGCUUGCAAUUGUUGUUGAAUGUUGGUAUUUUGCUGAUGUUCGGGGGUGUUUUGAGGGGUUUUUCUGACUGCUUUGGGUUAGGGUUUGUGUAUUUUCUAACUGCUUGGUUUGAACCGUUGCAUUGCUUUUGUAUGUAGGUUGUGGUUUAGCUUUGUGGUACGAAAUGGCUCCAAAAAAGACUGUUUCAUCUGUCCGGGUUAGCGAAGCUAGCGAAAAGGCGAUAGACAAAUUAAAUGCGAAGGAGUUCCGGGAGCGAUUCCGCAUCCCCCAUGACGUAUUGAUAGACUUGGUGAACGAGGAGGCGGCUAUGCCUACUGAGAAAGGUGGAAAAAACGUUAUCCUCUUCACAAAGGAACAAUUCAACGCGGGGCUCCGGUUCCCUCUGCCGGCGUUGUUCAAGGAAUUCCUCCACUUCUCUCAGAUUCCCCCCAUCUUUAUUCAUCCCAACCUUGUCCGGGUGCUGAUGGGAUGCAGCAUCAUCAACAUGCUGUACAGCCUCGACCUGACGCUACUGGAAGUGUUCUUUGUCUAUUCCCUGAAGAAAGCAAAGACUGAUAUCUUCAGUGUGUCCGCGCACCUGCCCUCCCUUCAAAUGGUAACAGAGCUGUCAGAUUCAACAAAGGGAGGGGCGAGGGGGCUGGUGGCAGUCCGGGGUGGAUGGGCGGGGCUAUCGCAGCAUCCGUCGAGGCCUUUUUCUCCAAAUUAUACCUUAAAAAUUCCGGGUAAUCUUGUUUUGCGAUUUUUUUGUCCGGAUUUUGCUUUGCUGACUUUUUGAUUUUUCCGGACGGAAUUCUCACCUUUUGUUGCUGUUAAUGCAGGUCUGGAAUUGAGGGGCCACCUUGUGGAUUGGGUGGAAAAGGCGUCCUUUGCCUGCGUCUGCAAAUUAUUCGAAAUAGAUCCCAAGGAGAGGGCCUACAAAACAUUGCUCUCCGCGCAGAAUUUGAUAGAGGUCGUCCGGGAGCCCCAGGAAUAUGUUAUCAAUAUUCUUCCUAGGAAACUGGCAAAGGAUGAGAUAGUGCAUGGGGAGCAUUAUACAGUGAAGGAGCUCCCCCUCUAUCAGGAAGCUAAAGAGGCUGACGCUGAAAGGCGGCGAAAGCUCCUGGAGGAUAGAGAUCAGAAAAAAUCUGAAGGCACUAUCCGGAAGGCUCCCGGACAGAAGGGGGGGCCGGACCCUCCUUCAAAGAAAAUUCCAGGCAAGAGGGGGAAGCUUGUGAAGAAGCAUGGGAAGGAUGUGAAGGAACCCACUCCUCCCAAGGAGUUUCCUUCUCCACAAACUACCUAUGAGGGGGAAGUAAUGAUAGAGGAGCCAGUAAAUGCUGCUCCGCACUCUAUCUCAAGCGGCCCCGGACGCAUGUCGGGGUUAAAUCAUUCGGGUCCUUCCUUAGUCGCGGCUGCGCGUCUGGCUAACGUGGCUGAGGAAGCUGCAUCUAUCAACCAUCCGGGCAACCUUAAUCCGGAUGCUGAUGCAGCUGAAACGACCCCGUUGGAGGAAGCGGGGGCAGAAAGCCAAAGUCAGCCUUCCGACGACCCGGAUCGCCUGGCCAUAGUCCUGGUGAAAGGGCCUCCUCUCAAGAAGCCGCGUUUGACGCGCGAUCUACAGUCCGGACUGUUUGAGCGGCUUCAAGAGCGGCAGCAAGAGAUUGAAAUUAGCUGCGCUUCUGCCCAUGACGCUCAUCCGGAUGGAGGCGAGGUGGAGAUGGCUACUGAGACCUCAGCCGCCCCGGCAAUAAUUCCGGAUGAGGAUGCAUCCGGACCUAUGCGUCCGAACGAAGAUAUGGGGGUUCCGAUUCCGGGACAAGAGUUACCUUCUGCUUCCUCCUCUGAGGAGGAAUCUGCUGACGAUGCCGCUCCUACUAGCCCUUUCAGCUACGCGGAGUUGGAAGUUAAGUUAAAGCAGAUUACUCCUGACUGGAAAGCCAUCAAGCCCUCUGCUAAGAUGUUUGAUAUGAUAGAAACGGUACACCGUUGUCUUGUGUUUUUGCUUUUUGACUUUUUGUUGCACUGGUGUGUUUGUUGUAGUAUAAUUUAUGUUUCUGCUUUUCUUGUUUGCGUGUCAGCUGGUGAGGGGCCUCCGCAGCAUGUCUCAACAACACGAUCUUUUUACUCAGUUGCUGCAGACUGCAGACUAUAUGAGGACCUUCUCCUCUCGGCGCCAAGAGAUUGAAAAUCAGCUGCGUCUGAGAAUGGAGGAGGCUGAGGCCAAUUUAUCCACCAUGCGAGAGGAAAAUGAAGCCCUCCGAGCGGAGCUGGCUGAGGCGAAGAGUCGCGAAGAAUCAACUGCGGGUCGCCUAUAUGAGGUGGAGGGUGAGGCAGCCCGGCUGAGGGAUGAAGUGAGUCAACUCCGGACCGAGGUAUCGAAUGAAAAGAAACAGAAGGAAGACUUGCAGCUGCGCCUGGAUGUGCAAAAAGAGGAACUUGAACGGGAGUUUGCUGUGGAAAGGGAGGAACUUGCAGCGGACUACCAGCAGCAAGUGGAUGAUACGUUUAUCUUUGGGUAUCGCUGCUGCAUGAAGAAGAACGGCAUUAAGCGAGAUACCCCUUCAAUUCCUCCGGGUGAAGAAAAGAAGCUAUAUGAGAAGCCCGCUCCCUGAUAGUUAUCUCUUUUUGCAAUUUUUCUGCUGUAAUUUUUCCUUCUGUCUUUUUGUGGUCCGGAGAUCUCUUUGUAAUUACAUUUAUUUAUAUCAAUAAAAAUAUAUUUCUUUCUCAUUUGCACUUGUGUAUACUUUUUACUGAUAGUACUGCUUUAAAUUGGACACAUUCCAUGGUCUGAGUAACGGAGUGCCAUCUAGCUUUUGUAAAUGAUAGGCUCCAUUUUCGUUUGCCUUAGACACUAUGUAGGGUCCUUCCCAAUUGGCUUGGAACUUUCCCGCGCCUACUUCAGCAGUAUUUUCAAAAACUUUUCUAAGUACUAGCGUACCAUUUUUGAAGUUUCGGGGCUUGACUUUUCGAUUGUAAUGCGCUGAUGCCCUUUGUUGAUAAUCUGCCAUCCGGAUGGACGCGCUUUCUCUGACUUCGUCAGCCCAGUCCAAAUUUCUUCCUAGUUCCGUGUUGGCGUCUUUUUGCUUUGCUGCAUCAGUCCGGAUAGUAGGAAGACCUAUUUCAGUGGGAAUGACUGCAUCCAUUCCAUAUGUGAGGGCAAAAGGAGUAUUUCCUGUUGGUCGUCCGGAUGUGGUUCGAUAGGCCCACAGGACGCCGGGUAGUUCCUCCACCCACUUCCCUUUGGCUUGCUCCAGCCUUUUCUUUAAGGCAUUGAUUAGAGUUUUGUUUGUGGCUUCCGCCUGGCCAUUGCUUUGAGGAUAACGUGGCGUGGAGUAUGAAUUCCGGAUAUUCAAUUCCGAACAGAAAUUCCUGAAUGCAAUGCUGUCAAAUUGUGGACCAUUGUCAGCUAUGAUGAUUUGGGGAAUUCCAAAGCGGCAAACAAUGUUCUUCCAUACGAAUUUGGUGACAUCUUUAUCUUUGAUGCUUGCAUAUGCUUCAACUUCUACCCAUUUACUGAAGUAAUCAGUGGCGACAAGGAGGAAUUUCUUCUGGGCAGGUGCUGCUGGGAGGGGUCCCACAAUGUCCAUGCCCCAUUGCGCGAAAGGCCAUGGGCCUGAGACCGAUUUUAAUGCGGCUGAUGGCAUGCGUGGAAUGGGAGCGUAUCUUUGACAUUUAUCGCACUUUUGGACAUAUGCUGCCGCGUUUUUCUUCAUUGUUGGCUAAUAGUACCCUUGUGAAUGAGCUCUAUGUGCUAGGGAUCGUCCUCCCGUAUGAUUUCCGCAUAUUCCUUCAUGUAAUUCAGCUAGUACAUACUGGGCCUCUGAAUGCCCAAGACAGCGAAGAUAAGGUCCUGUGAAGGAUCGCUUGUACAGGUGCCCCCCGAUCAGGGUGAAACGGGCAGCUUGCACCCGGAUUUUGUGCGCUUGUUUAGGAUCUUCAGGUAAAGUGCCUGUCCGGAGAUAUUCUACAAUAUCAUGCGUCCAUUCUUGAUGAUCCGUUUGGUUUGCCUCAAUGGUGUUGCAAGUAGAAUCUUCUGUGACAGAGGGAUUGGCUUGCACAUGUAUGGGCAGUAGAAUGGCUUCUUUGAUAGGGAGGGAGGCAGCUA
rnacentral:lncRNA from 1 species